rnacentral:lncRNA from 1 species
AAUGGGAUUCCUGGUUGGUAUUUUCUUUUGCCGUAAUUCUAGCAGUUGCAAAUCAGAUCCCUUUGGCUUUUCCUGAUACAUAUGUAUACAAUCUCUGUAGUUGUAGUGUUUAAUCUGCUUGAGCCUGGGAAUAUUUCAAGUGCAUUAUGCGGAGGCCAAGUGGGCACGUUGAUUGACCAAUCAGGAGGAAUUAGUUGAUGCAAAAGAAAUGUCUGCUGGAUGUGCUUUGAGGCAUGAUGUCAACUUCAUGGAAGUACAGCAGGUCCAGUGUCAAAAACAUGUAUAUAUUGGAAAUUUGAAAUGCAGCAAUCGCAAUCGGAUGCAUCACUUUGAACUCGCUACUGUAACAUAAAUGACUGAGUUUGGAGCAUAUCCCUGUGUCACAUGUAAAUCCUGUAGUAGAAUUAGAACCUACCCAAUAAAUGAUGAAGAAAAAUGCUGGUUUCAGUGGGAAAGUUAUUGCUUCAACGACCCUCCCAGACGUUUCUUUCUUUGUUAAUGUGCAAAGUCAUCUGCUUUUUUAGGAUUUUUAAUGUGAUUAUUUAGUUGUCACAAACUAUUUACUCUUCUUUGAGUGACUCCAAAUCAUGGGUGUCAUGUUGCUUUCAACCUUUCAGUUUUUCGAGAGGAUGCGAUAAGCUAAUUUUCAUGUUGAAUUGUAACCAAAUAUCUUUUUUUUAGGCUACCGUUUAACAAAACAAAAUUGGUAAAUAGACAAACCCCCCAACCUGCUCUUUUCCCGUAAAGGUUUGGCGAGUAAAGCAAGAUCUAAACUGGGAUUAAGGAAUGCUAUUAUGGGAUAGAAUAUUUAUACAGUUCUUCUUGGGUUAAGUUAUAGGGUAGAUAUAUAUUUAUUUUUUAUAUUUUAACAAUACAAUAAACCACAUUUUUCUUUUAUUUUUUUGCAGAAAGUGCAUAAAAUGAGUCGUUUAUUUUUAUUAAAAUUUUCGUAAAUUAGGCAUAUACUCAAAAGCCUGUACACAAACUAGCAAGACGAAGAAAAUAAGUUUUAUUUUCUUUUAUAAAAUAUUCAAAAUCCAAUUAAGGAGACAAAGACGUUAUUUACCAUCAUACUUUCCUUUUCUCUAUAAUAUAAUGAAUUCUUCUUGUGAUGCUAUGUUAAAUUAUAAUAUGGUCUGCACGUGGGCGAUAAGGGAUGAUAAAAGAAAAUAAAUAAAAUAAUUUAAUAUAAUAAUUCCUAUUUUAAUAGGAUUUAUCUGCUUUACAAUUUUAUAUUGUUAUUGUUUUGAUUAUCCUAGUCUAGUUAACAUUUGAGUUUACAUUCAAUUUGAAUCUGUAUCAGUUAAAUAAAUCAAAAUUCUAAACAGAAACCUAUUAGGAAACAGCAACGAGUAUAAGUAAUCAUAACUACAAACUUUGGACUCAUACACUACUCUCACAUUGCAAUAAUGAAAACCUCUCUUCUCAUCAUUUUCUUCUUUCUUGCCCUUACGCUUUCUCCUAGUUUCGGCUUACCUUCUAAUACCGGCGGCAGCCGCAAAGGCAACCAUCAUCUUAAGCUUCAGCUUCCGGCCGGAGUAGUUGGCCCCGAAAGCCUUGCUUUCGACUGCAAUGGCAAAGGGCCGUACGUCGGUGUUUCCGACGGUAGAAUUCUCAAGUGGCAAGACUCAAAACUUGGUUGGACUGAAUUUGCCAGCACCACUCCAUUCAGGUAAGAAUUCGUAUAUAUACAUGUUAGUAUGUAAUUUAACAUGUGCGAUUCUUAUGUGCGAUUCUUUUAACAUCAGAUAUAUUACUUUGAUUUAUUUGUAUGUGCAAUUUAACUAAAUCUAGUUUACGAAUUAUUAAUUUAUUUCUUUUCAAAUUUACCAACGGAAUUUCAAAUUUGCAUGCGAUUUGAUUAGGCGGCUAAGGAGGAUAUGUGAUGGCACAAGCAGCACGAUUUUAGAACCCUUAUGUGGGAGGCCGUUAGGCAUUAAAUUCAAUCCUGUUACAUGCGAUCUUUACAUCGCUGAUGCAUACUUUGGCUUGAUGGUCGUCGGGAGAAACGGCGGCCCAGCGAAACAACUUGCUUCUUCAGCUGAAAGAAUUCCCUUUCGCUUCACAAACGCCUUGGACAUUGAUCCCAAUACCGGCGUUGUUUAUUUUACCGACAGCAGCAUGUACUUCCAAAGAAGACAGUACCCUAUGCUGAUCGAAAGCGGAGACAGAAGUGGAAGAUUAUUGAAAUACGAUCCUCGCAACAAACAAGUGACGGUAUUACGAAGGGGCUUAGCAUUUCCAAAUGGCGUCACCCUGAGUAACGACAAAUCAUUUUUACUGGUUGCUGAAUCAGAUUCAAGGAGGAUUCUAAGGUUCUGGGUUGAAGGUGAGAGCGUUAUAUAUUCUCCGCAACCGUUCGCUCAAGUUGCUCAAUUUCCGGACAACAUCGAGACAGACAGGAACGGAGACUUUUGGGUUGCACUAAACACUAAGAGAGGAAAUGACAAGACAGAUCUUGUGGCGGUAAAGCUUGAUGGCAGCAAUGGCAAUGUCCUUGAUGUUUUAGAAGGAAAUAAACAAAAUGCACUCGAUUCUGUUAGCGAAGUCGAAGAACAUGGUGGAUAUUUGUACGCGGGAUCUCCAGUGCAGCCUUACGUUGUUGUAAUCAAGGCUUAGCUAGGCUUGAUUUUUUUUGCUUCUUUUCAUUCUUCUUUGUUCUUAACUUCUAACAAUACAAUAAACUACAGUUUUCUUUUUUUCUUUUCUUUUUUUUAAUUGCAUAAAAUGAGUCAUCCGUAUUUUUGUUGAAAUUUGCUUUAAUUAGGCAUAUACGCAUGAAAUAAAAGCAAGCAUGAAACUGUCAUCACCAUAAAAUUGAGCUCAAAAUAAAUUCAGAAAGUUGAUUAUUUGAGAAUCUUUAUAGGAAUUGGUUGUUUUGGAUCUGAAAGUUGUUUAUUUGAGAAUCCUUAUAGGAAUUGAUUAUUUCGGAUGCUAAAACAAUCCCAAACUUGUUGUUAUGAUUAUAAAACUCUGCUUUUCCGUAAACAGAAGAACCUAAAGUGCUAAACCCAUUAGCACCUAAAUUAUAUUCUGUUCUCUGUGCAAAAAGUUCAAGAAGUGUAUUCAAAGGACUCGUCUGAAUUUCAUUUGAGCGAGUUGAUAAGAAUAAUCAAAGAAACGCAUACAGUCUUAAUCUAAAGAAACAGUAAUAAUGAAAUGAACUCAACAUAGUAAUGUAGUACAAUGCGGAGCUAGCAAAUAAAUGUAACGGCUAUUAUCAAUUUCCAUCAAAGAGCUGAUUAAUAUACAUGUUGUUCUUCCCAUUUUACAACUUUUAUUUGGAUCCUUCUAUCCUUUGAUCUUAUCCUUAAGUUGGAGAGAACUCAUGGCCCUCUGCUGAGUCACAAAUCCAUGUCAUGUUGCACAUCACUAACGGCAGAGAGCAAAGCACCGAUGAUAUCGUUACAAGGUAUUCAUUGAAACAAUUCGUCGAACAAUUUGAUUUCUUUAACAAACAGUUGCCUCUACUCAUUGCAGAGCAAGAAAAUAUUAAAAUAAUGAAAUAGAUCAUUUGGAUUACAUAGGAAAGGCUAGUCAGCAAUUCAUUGUUAACUAAUACUAUAAUUAAAUAAUAAAGAAACAAUUAAUAUUUUACCGACUGAUUAACUUGACAGCAAGGCAGUUUAAAAAAAUUAAUUUAAUAAAAAAAAGACCCACAACACUAUUAAUAUUAAGCAGUUGCGUAGCACAGUCCCACCAUCUUAGCAGCAAAUAAUAGUGUUCUGUCAUGUGAUACAGUUAUGGGUCCAAAGUGAAACUUUUAGUGAUCCCACAAUAUAACCUCUUAAAUUUAAUAUUAAAAAUAUUAUUCGGUCCUAUUAUCUAUAUAUCUAUAUAAAGUUACGACUACAAGAGCUGAUGUGACAUCACCAUUCCUCAUCUUUUUAUAUUGUUCUGUCAUGUGAUACAGUUAUGGGUCCAAAGUGAAACUUUUAGUGAUCCCACAAUAUAACCUCUUAAAUUUAAUAUUAAAAAUAUUAUUCGGUCCUAUUAUCUAUAUAUCUAUAUAAAGUUACGACUACAAGAGCUGAUGUGACAUCACCAUUCCUCAUCUUUUUAUAUUCUCUAUUAUCUAAAAUAUUUGUGGAUAUUCUUUAUACAUGCCUCUUCCUCUUUCUAUUUAAAUCCAACAAUAUGUAAUCAUUAAUAAUAAUUAAUUAUAAGUCUUUUGAAACAUUUAUUUAUUUUAUUAUACUAGCAAUUAAACUUUAGUAGCUUAAAAUACAUCAAUUAAUUAAUAUAGGAAGAGAAGUUCUUUCAUCUUCCCUCUUCCCUCAACAAUGCUACUAGAGCCUAAUUUUAAUGUCAUAAUCCCAUAUUUAAUUAUGCAACCUUUUGUUUAAUGCCUUUUGACUUCUUCAAACUCUCUAAACACUAAAUAUUUAAGAUUUGUUAUGUUUGAUUUUUUUUAUUAUUUAACCAACAUCCUCUUUAGAAAAAUUCUUAUAUUUUAUUGUUUGAUUUAUUUAAAUUUUUGGUAUUGUGUGCUUCAUGGAGUACUCUUUUCUUCAUAAGUUGAACAAUGAUAAAGAUAGUUGGAUGAUAAGGGUUAAGCUGUGUAGGAUGUGAGAGUCUACUAAUACUAAGAAGAAUGACGAAUCUUUCUACUUAAAUCCAACAAUAUGUAACCAUUAACAAUAAUUAAUUAUAAGUUUUGAAACAUUCAUUUAUUUUAUUAUGCUAGUUCCACCAUAUGACAAACCACCAUCAAAAUUAUUAAAAAAAAGCAACUAAAAUAAAUACCAAUGUAUAUCAACGCCUCACAAUUACACAAUUCAAAAACUUACUUCUUUCGAUUGCAAUAAUGAAAAACUCUCUUUUCAUCGUUUUCUUUUUUCUUGCCCUUACGAUAUAUAUAUAUACAUAGUUUCAGCUUACCUUCCAAUGCUGGCCGCAGCCGCAACGGCAACCACCAUCUUGAGCUUCAGCUUCUGGCCGGAGUCAUAGGUCCCGAAAGCCUUGCUUUCGAUUGCAAUGGCGAAGGGCCGUACGCCGGUGUUUCCGACGGUAGAAUUCUCAAGUGACAAGGCUCAAAAUUUGGUUGGACUGAAUUUGCCACUACCACUCCAUACAGGUAAGAAUUUGUUUAUAACAUGUGUGUGUGUCUAAUUUAUAUUAUUGUAUUAUAGCAUGAAUUUACAUGCACGCUCGUUAUUGUGUUGUCCUAUUAUGUAUAGCAAAGGUUAUUGUUAGGGUAGCAUUUUUACAGUGCUUCCUGUGCUGUUAUAGCAAAUUAAACGUCAAGAAGAGAUUCUUAGGGUCCUUUAAGAUUGAAAAAAAAAAAAACUCUAGGUGAGACUCUAACAAAUUAAUAAAUAGUCGUUUUAUUUUCAAAAUACUCUCUAAAUAGAUAUAUAGCAUUUCACUCUCUUAUGUCCGAUUCUUGUAACAUCAAAUAUAGGCUAGUAAUGUUGUUAAAUUUCUAAGAUAUAGAUAGACCUCAAGCAGCUUUAGUUUCACCCAAAUGUUCACUCAUAUGAUAAUUACAAUGGCAUAGAAAAUGGAACAAAGGAAAAAGAAAUAAGAGUCUCACCAUACAUAUUCUUUGCGCUUACAGGAAUUUUUGAUGCAUUUUCUUCAGUUAUGCUAACGGAAUUUCAAAUUUGUAUCUGGCUUAAUUAGGCGGCCUCGCAAGAUAUGUGAUGUCUCGACCAACACAACUUUAGAACCUUUGCCAAUGGGCAUUAAAUUCAACCGUGUAACAUGUGAUUUGUACAUAGCUGAUGCAUACUUUGGAUUGAUGGUUGUCGGCCCAGCGAAACAACUUGCUCUUCAGCUGAAUCUCUUUUUGCUUUACAAAUGCUUUGGGCAUUGAUACCACUACCGGAGCUGUAUAUUUUAUUGACAGCAGCAUGUACUUUCAAAGGAGGCAAUAUUCUAUGUUGAUCAAUAGUGGAGAUAGAAGUGGGAGGUUGUUGAGAUACGAUACUUGCAGCAAAGUGCUGACAGUCCUACAAAGAGGCCUAGCAUUUCCAAAUGGCGUAACCCUAAACAAAGAUAAAUCAUUCCUACCAGUUGCUGAAUCGAAUUCGGUGAAGAUUUUAAAAUUUUGGAUUCAAGGUGAGAGAGUUACAUUCUCUCCGCAACCUUUUGCUCAGCUUUCGAAAUUUCCAGGCAACAUCGAGAUGGAGAGUAAAGGAAACUUUCGGGUUGCAUUGAGACACUAAAAGACGAAAUAUUGAAAGAGAUCUUGUGGCGGUUAAGCUUGACGGCUAUGGUAAUAUUGUGAAAGUUUUACAAGGAAAUGAACGAAAUGCAUUUGAUUUUGUUAGCGAAGUUGAAGAACAUGAUGGAUAUCUGUCUGCAGGGUCUCCAAUGCAGCCUUUCGUUGUUGUAAUCAAGGCUUAGCUAAACUCGUUUAUUUAUUAUGCUUUGAUUAUUUGUCGUUCUCACAUUUUGACAAUACUGCAAUUUUCAUUUAAAUCUUUUCAGGUGCAUAAAAUAAGUACUCUGUAUUUUUAUUGAAAUUUUAAUUAGGCAUACAUGGAUGAACAAAAACCAAGCAAGAAAUAGGCAUCACCAAAAAGGAACCCGAAAGGUUAAUUACCAUCAGCAGUCGCACUUACUCCUGUUUGAGAUGAAAUAACACUUAAAAGAAGCAAAAGCCAUAACCCACAUGUCAAAAGCAUUAACAAAAAGAGACAUAAAAAGUUAUCUCAAGGGAGAUUAUUUUCUAAAUACAAAACUGUAUCAAAAUCAGUUUGUUGUACAUGGAUGCUGUCAAAACAUUUGUCACAGCAAUUAACUACUCAUAAAACUGUACACAAACUAAUUUUAUUCCGGAAAUGAAUGGCUAUGCGACAUGCUAUUUUUGAAUCUAAAUGAAAAUAUAUUUGAACCUGGGCAACUAUAAUUUGCAACCACUUCCGAGUGCAUUAUUCUGAGUUUUCUUGCUCCAAGUCCACAGCUAUUUCCUCUGUACAAAUCCGAGACCCAUCCAAAAAGUAAGGGUCGAUCUUUCAUGAAUUGCCUUCAUGUAUCCACCAACAGAAAGUCCUAAGGGAAUCUUUGGAUGCUUUAGGAAUAAGCAUUAAGCUAGACAUGAAAGCCGAUGGUUCAACUCAUGUGUAACUCAAAUCCAGAAAAUAUCAUUCAGACUGAAAAUAACUAUCAUAAAUAGAAAGCCGAUCAAAAGCAUCAAAGUUUGCUUUUAGUCCAACAAAUUGACUGCCCAGCUGAGCACAACCAGCAUCUGGCCAACGGCAGCCCCCAUCCCCUGUGCGUAAUGGACACAAAGCUUCACACACCCGACCAAUUGGAUUGCUGGAAACAACAUCAUCCAUUACGGUGACUGAAACAGAGAAAUCUGAUUUCUCAUCAUACUGUAUACUGCCAUCAGAUACUCUUUUUGAAGCGUACAUUUUCAGUGGACUCUCAGUUGUAUUACCUUCAAAUACCUUCAAAGUCAACAGUACAAUCACCACUGCUAGAAAAUUGAACCUUGCAUCCUAAUGAUUGAACGGCUCGAUUUAUGGCUUCACUUUCCUUGCUGGCCCUACUGGCUACAUUCACAGCCUUGCUCCUGAGUUGCUUCUCCUUUCUUAACUCUGCAGUUUGUGAUUCCAUAGCAAUCAUGGUUUCUUUAGCUUUCUUCUCCGCUAACUCUUUUGCCUGCCAGGAAUUUUAAUCGACUGAAUAGUAUUUACAGACCCUCUAUAAUUCAAUUACAGUAAAAAAAAGACGAGGACAGUCAGUUCAUUGUCAUUUAGGAUAAUAUGAACAAGUGAGGGGUUCCAUUAACCAAUAGAAAACAACCUUUUAUUGUUGUCUAUCACCUGAAAGGAGGGUAAAAUUCAUAUUUUGCAAUUGUCUAGUACAACACAAAAUUGCACCUGUAGAACAGAAGGAAAAAUUCCCUUACCUUCUUCAGUUCAGAGAACUUUAUAGCCAUGUCCCUACAUUGUUCUUCAAGCUCCCCAGUUUGGGCUUCGGUGGGACAAGCCCAGCGCAGAUGGAAUUGAGGCCACAAAGUUGGGGCUAAAGCUGCAGCCGGAGGUAAAAGAGGACCAUUAUGUUUCAGCGGAUCAUAAAAGAGGUUAUAGUGAACAUGAGAGCUUCCUGCCGAAGAACGCAAAUCAGCCAGAUAUGCCCACAAGCACCCACAUGCUUCAGCAACACCACAUUGCUGCCUCUCCUUUUCACUGAAAAUUAAGACUAACAAAUCAGAUAAUUCAAAAACUUUCUCAGCAGUGCCUUGAGAGUUAAACUGUUCCAUUCCAAUUUGUUUGUAUAUGUUUCCAUACAGCUACAAUAUUAUAUAAUUGGAAAAAAUAAGUAAACAAGCUGAUUUUGCACCAGCAAAUAUAAACAUCAUUCAUAAGAAUGCCUGUACCAGUUAUACAUGUUCAUUAAUAAAACAGCAACUUCAGGGGAUGAAAUGUAGCAAAAUUUCUCUUUGACCAGUAGUUCCUGAGAUUAUACAACAUACUUAUGAAGUAAAAGAAACAUCCAAACCAUGCUGACAAGCUAAAAACAUACUGAAGUCAAUUUAACAAAAAUUACAAGCUAACUUAAAAUACAACCUUUUAAUCCAUUAUACUUUAGAUUUAUCUGUAUAGUUUGUUAAUGCUUCCUUCUGAACAAAUUGUAUCAUUUAUACUCUUAAUCCUUCUCAAACUCUAUAACUUUUGCAGCAAUUUUUCUUUUUUCUUUUUAAUUGACAAAAAAAAAAGACCAUUAUGCUUUUAAAUAUAACAGUUCCACUAUGUAAUAAUCACAUCAAGAAUUCUUAAUUUUUUCUCAUCCUUUCUACUUCGAAAAAGGAAAAAUUAAAAAAAAAAAAGAUUUGAACCUCAGACUUGUAUCAAUUUAACUUUUCAUUUCCCUUAACUAAAGAUUUAAUCAAAAAGACCAAGCCCCUGGGCAUGUAAAACCAUCGCACUGCAGGAAAAACAAUAGAAAAGGAAAAAGAGAGAGAACUUAAAAAAGCAGCUCUUUAGGACAAAUUACUGGCUAAGUCCUGCUGUUAUCCCAAUAGUCAUAACAGAUGAAGUAAAUGCAUGCCAGUUACCACAGCUUUUAUUGGAAUAGGAUCCACCCCACUGCUUGUAUUAAUGUGAAACCAACCCACUGCAGAAACAAAUUCACACACCAUAUCAUUAAUUUUUCAUCAGACAAACUUAUAACACAACUAGAAAGCUGAAGUCCUCCCACAGUAGAGCCAAAGGCAUGGAAGAGGGAUCAGGACCUAAAGGCAAGCUAGUGUUUAUACAGGAUUGAGCAGCUACUUAAUGAAGUGCUCUAAGAACUUGAGCUUUUGGAUCAAAAGGUUUCUCUAACAUGGUAUCAAAAGAUAAUGUCUCAAGUUAAAUUUCCACACGUGCAAACUCAAUUUUAAUUAUUUAAAUUUCAAUUCUUUGGCUCAUUUUCGAGCUCUCCUGUAUCUAAGCCCAUCUGCAAGCUCAUCUUAGUCAACAUUUCACAUGAUGCAUGUUAAGAUUUGUUUUUCAGGCCCAUAUCGGUUUAAGCUUCUGAAUUUUGAAAAUAUUAAUUAAAUGAAGAUUCUACUAACGACUCAAUAGUUAAAUUAAAUAUUAAUGCAAGAACCUGCAAAAAUAUGGGAGAAUAGUUGUUCUUUGCAUGAGAAGAACCAGAAGCUUGAGGUGCUAAUGAACCAGAUGAUUGGCGCAUGGGUGAUGACGGAAAACUCCCAGUAGAGGACUGCCUACAUAAUUCAAAAGAUAUAUCACCACUUCCAGAGAGGGUUGGCAUUCCCACACGAUCCGAAAAUGGAUGGCCAAAUGCUAGCCAAUCUUUUUCAACAAGUGCCUGCACCAAGAAAAAAGAUUUUAUAAUUUAUGAGUCACAUCACGCAUCACACUGAGUGCAUAACUGAAGAGCAAGGCAAAUGAUAUCCAUGUUACCAUCUCAUAUGGAUAAGACAAAUAAGAACGGUACAGCAACCCAAGAAGAAAAUAAAAAAUAAGCAAAGAAAAAAAAAAUCAAUGCUAACACUUGAUUUUGAGACAGUAAAAUUAAAAUGGGAAAAAAAUAAACUAAAAGGGCCACAAAAAACGUAUGCAUGCAACAAAAGAGUUCCCACAUUGCCUUUCAUACUAGAUUAUUUAAGAACAUCUUGGCAGAAACAUCAGAAAAAAAGAUCUUAAGACUGCCAAUAAGAGCUAAAGUUUCAAGCAUAAAAAUGUACCUGAAAUCCAGCGAAUGUUCGAUAGUAUGGAUCAAGUAACAAAUUAGCAAGUGCAACCAACUGAGUUGUUCUAUCCCAACCAUCACUGCAUAACACAAAGGCAAAUGAACAUGUUAGACACCAAAAUACAAAAAUGUUAAAAAAGGCCAAUAAAGGCCAAUUUCAGGGAAACACCCGAAAUACAAAUUUUCCAUUUUGUUGAGUGUCAACAAAACGUUUUCAUUUUAUUAAUCUUUAACACAUCAAAAUAGGAAUUACCUAGGACUUCAAACAGGAAAUCUCUAAUAUCUAUCCUGAUUACAGAAGUAGGCGAAAUUGCAGUAAAAAUUCAUGUCUCUUGCUCUCUCUAUCUCGCAGCUCUCUAAAUGGUGGAAUAAAAAGUCAUUUGGAUUAAACUCAACUCAAUCUAAAUAAGGGUGUGUUUGGGAAAAAAUUUGCUAAGCUACCAAAGUCCAGCUACAAGUGUUACCAAACCCUUUAGUAGCUGGGCUUUGCUCCACACUCCCGAACGGGCUAUUAAUUACACAAGUUCAUAGACAACUUUAACAUCAUCGUAAUCACUCCAAUCUAAAGCUCAGUUUGAGAACUGGAUUUUUACCUGCCUCUCUUAGUCUUCAAAGAUUGCUGCCAGCAAUCCAUGAAAAACUCCUGGAGUAAACCUACGUAAAAAUACACAAUUUUUGACAAAGAGCCCUUCCAAGUUCACAUAUGAAAACAAUGGAUUGGUCAUUAUACCUUGGUGACCAGAGUUUCAGAUAAAAACAGCUUAAAAGAAAAUAAACAAACAAAUAAAGAAAUGAUAAAUGACGAGGUCCUUUUGAAAUCAUCCUAUCCAGAUCAUCUCCUUCCAUCCACGAGCCUCCUUGAACCAUCUCUCCAAAGACAGUCAGGCUAAUGACUAUAAAUUAAGCGCUUCUUAGGAGGCAACCCAAGCUUUCUAAACUUUAUUAUUGUCAUUUUUUUUCUUUUUUUUCUUUUCUUUUACUUAUUUUGUUUUGUUUUAGGAUUUUUCACAAGUUUGAGGGUCGAUGAACAUCAAUUUUCCACAUGCCUUUCAACGACUCAGCUACAACUUUACAUCUUCAAGUGCAAAACCGAGGGAGUUUUCUCUUUUCCUUUUCUUUUUCUUUACAUUGAGGACAAUGUUUAUUUUAAGUUUGGGGGUGGGAAUAUUUUCUUUCAUUUUUUUCAUUAAAAAAAAGAAAAAAAAGAAAAAAAAAAAGAGAUUUUAAUGCCUAUGAUGAGUUUAUGAUUGAAAAUGAAUAUGGUUCUUAGAAAGGGAUGAAUAUUGUCUUAGUUUAUACUUGAUUCUUGUGUUAGUUUCGUCUUGAUUGAGAUUCUUUAAAUAUCUUGCGCACUUAUAUCGAUUCUUUCAGAAUUUUGACUUGAGAUUUGAGAUUGAUACAGCCUAAGUUGAGAAUUUUAGAUUGAGUAAAUGACUGUUUGCCUUGAUUCUACAGUACUUAAGUUUACCCAUGCACUAUAGUCAGAAAUAGCUACCUAUAACCCUUAAGAGUGAAGCUAUCCUUGAGUAAUUUGGGCCUAUGUACCACCAGUAUGUAGAAGAUAAUCUACCAUGAGAAAAAGGCUACCUUAAGGGGUAGAGUGAAAGCUUCUGACUAUGGACAAAGAAAUGAAAAGAAAAAAAAAAGCAUGUGCUUCAAGAAAAAUCAAAAGAAAAUGCUAAUUUAUGCCUGUGAAAAAAAAAAAAUCAAUCAAGAUGAUGAAGUUAGUUUGACCUACUCUGUUUAUUAUUCGAGACAAGAGCUGUUGAUGUUGAAGAUCUUGAGAAUGAGUUUUGAUUGAAUUGAUUCACACACAACACAGGAAUCCAAUAUCAUAUGAGAUUGACCAUUGAAUUAAAGUUAGAACUUUGCUAAUAUUUUUAAUUUUCUUUGAGCUAUAUACAAUCUUUGAGGCAUUUUUUAUGAUGUUUGUGGGUAUCAUCGCUGGAAACCCUCACGAGACUAUAACUCGUCCACUAGGGCCGCCUAGGGGUUUAAAGGCUUGUUGCAUAUGCUAAAUGCAAUCGCGAUCACCUGCGAAAGUGGUUUAGUUAGAAUUUUCUUUUCGUAGUUUUUAUUUUAGUUUUUGCUCGAGGACUAGCAAAAUGUUAAGUUUGGGGGUAUUUGAUGUGCUCAUAAUUUAUCUAUUAUUUUAAUGCUUCCAUAACUUAAUUUUAUGUUAAAGUAUAUUUUAUUAUCUUAAUUUUUAUCUUAAUUUUUAUAUUUUUUCAUUGUAGGAAUAUUGAGAAUAUUCAUGAGAAAAGAAGCUUAAAGAGGAAACAAAUUGGAGUAUAAUGGAAAUAAUGUGGAAGUAAAAGGGAAAGAAAUACAAAGCCAAAUAAAGGAAGAUUGAAUUUAAGCAUCAUGCAAGCAAUCACGUGAAGAAUCAAGGAAGAGAAGAACAGGUCAAUUGGCUUUUAAUUUCAAGCUCAUUUGACAAUUUAAAUGGCAAGCUUACAAUAUAAUAAAGGAAGCAAAUAUUUUGGCAUUGUUUGAAAAGGGUAUUCACGUGGAUGGGCUUAAAAGGUGGCUAGAAUUGUUUUGUUUUAAAAAUCCUUUUUAUUUAAGAAUUCGUGGGCUGGAUUUGUUUUGUUUUGAAAUCCUUUUCAUUUAAGGAUUUGGAAGAAGCCACAACAUUAUAAAAGGAAAAAAGGCAGUCGCACAAGAGAAUGGAAGCCAAGAGAAAAGAAAUAAUUGAGCAGCAGCCGGAAGUCUUGAAUGAAAACCGAAGAGCAGCAGGAAUAAUUUAGAGCAGAAGGAAGACACAUUAAUUCUUGAUUUUUUCUUUCUCUCUUCUCUAUUAUCUUGUUUGAAUGUUUCCAAUUAAAUUAAUGAAUUCUCUUUAUAUCCCAUGAACUAAUUUAUUUUACUAGGGCUACGAUGUAGCCUAACUAUGAAGAUUUAAUUCCAUAAAUCUAUGUUAUUUAUUAUUCCAUGGUUGAGUGUUCAUUAUUGUGCUUAAUGCUUUUAAAUAUCUGGCCAAUAUUUGAAUGAUUUGAGGAUACAUAAUGAGACCGAGAGGAGAUUUAUGUAUUUUUGCUCUGUGUAAUGAAUGCCAUAAAUUGAACAAAAGACAGAGAUGUGCCAACGUGAUUCGUGCAGUUUUUCUAAGAAUUUUCAUGGAACUUAUUGGAUCUUUGCAUAUUUAAAUUCACAUAGAGAUAUAGUGGGUUAAUGUGUGAAUGCAUUUUUAAUAUUACUCGAGAGAGGAUAUUGAAUGGAUUAGGGAAAUUCACUGUCAACAUGGAUAGUAAAUUUUAAUAGCAUAGAUGGAGGAUUAAGUUGGAUUGGUUAUAGUGAAAUCGGAUGUCCUAGUGUCUUAAUCUCUUGGUGAUUUCUAUUACUGUCUGCGUCUUUAUUUAAUUUUUAAUUAUUUUAUUUAAUUUUAAUAUAAAUUCGCUUAUUCGAUUGUUCAAAUAAAUUAGGGUUAGAAUAAUUUCGGUAACUAAUAGGAUAUACAAUCUCUGUGGGACGAUACUCUACUCUUCAUUAUAUUACUUGUGCCGACUAGUACACUUGCUAAUUUACGCAUCAAGGCGCUUAAUUUAUAGUCAUUAGCUUGACUGUCUCUGGAAAGAUUGUUCAAGGAGGCUCGUGGAUGCAAGGAGAUGAUAUGGAUGGACCUUGCACAAAGUUCUUGCAAUUAGGCCUCUUCCCACGAAAAUUAGGAGAUGAAUCUUCAUUACUAGAUUGCUUAUGUAUUGUAUAAAUGUCAGGAGGGUCAAAUAGAUCUUUAUCCUUCAAUGAUUUGGCCAUUUUUCUAUCCAUGGUGUCUUCUUGAAAACAAUCUUUGAGUUCAGUUGGAUACUUGAUAAGUGUGUACACAUUGAAAAUGACUUGCUCAUUUUGAACUCUUAAAAUCAAUUUCCCUUCUUGAACAUCAAUCAAAGCUCUUCCUGUAGCUAAGAAUGGUCGGCCUAGAAUAAGAGGUAACUCUAUAUCUUCAGCCAUAUCCAAAACAAUAAAAUCUGCAGGGAAUAUAAACUUGUCAACUUUCACAAGCACAUCCUCAAUUAUGCCUCUUGGGUACUUUAUAGAUCUAUCUGCCAAUUGUAAGGUAACAAUUGUUGCCUUAGAUUCACCCAAACCUAAUUUCUUCAAAACAGAAAAAGGCAUCAAAUUAAUGCUUGCACGUAAAUCACACAAAGCUUUAUCAAAAUAACAAUUUCCAAUAGUGCAUGGAAUAUUAAAACUCCCUGGAUCUUUCAGCUUUGGUGGCAAUUUAUUUUGUAAGAUGGCGGUGCAGUCCUCAGUCAGCAUUACAGUUUCAUGCUCCUCAAGUUUCCUCUUGUUGGACAACAUUUCUUUCAUAAAUUUGGCAUAAAGCAACAUUUGUUCCAAAGCAUCUGCAAAAGGAAUGUUAAUAUGCAAUUUCUUAAACACAUCAAGAAAUUUUAAAAAUUGCUUAUCUAUGUUAUUUUUCCGGAGACGCUGAGGAAAAGGGAUUGGAGGAACAUAGGCCUUGACUGGUGUUGCUAGUUUAGGUUGUGGUAUUUCUAAACUUGCUGCCUUUGAAACCUUAGUGGUGUCUUCAGUUUGUUCUUCAUCAACUUUCUUUGCUUCUUUUCGCGGCUCAUCAAGCUGUUUACCACUCCGAAGUAUAAUUGCAUUAACUUGCUCCUUUGGAUUUGUCUCGGUGUUGCUUGGCAGAGAGCCAUGUUGUCUACUGGAUAGCAAGUUUGCAAUCUGACCCACUUGUACCUCGAGGUUCCGAAUUGAUGCAGCUUGAUUUUAAAAAGUUGUCUCUGUUUUGGUCAUGAAUUGAGACAUAUUUGUUGUAAGCUGGGUAAGAGCAUCUUCUAAGUUUGACUUCUUUUCUUGUGGUUGGAACCCUGGAGGUGGUGCCAAUGUAUUCUGAGUAUUGUUCCAUGACAAAUUCGGGUGGUUUCUCCAGCCAGGAUUGUAGGUAUUAGAAUAUGGGUUAUGUUGUUGUCUCUGGAAAUUUGACACAUAAUGAGCUUGUUCAGCAGAUGACGACGCAAAAGGACUUCCAACUUGGCAGUUGACAUUGGUAUGGUUCCCUUCGCAUAAUUCACACUCUUGAGUUUGAAUAGCACUGACAUGUAGGUGCUCUAACUUAUUAGAUAAAGCAGUCAUCUGUGCAGAUAAAGCAGUGACAACAUCAAUAUUAUGGGCUCCUACAAUUUUCCUUGGCAUUGAUCGCUCUGAAGUCCACUAGUAAUUGUUGGAUGCCAUCUCCUCCAAUAAUUCAUAAGCUGCUUCUAGUGUUUUUCCCAUUAAUGUUCCUCCUGCUGCAGCAUCAAUCAUUGUUCUGGUAUUGGAUCCUAAACCAUUGUAAAAUGUCUGCACCUGAAGCCAAACUGGUAGACCAUGAUGUGGGCAUUUUCUUAGUAGGUCUUUGUAUCUCUCCCACACGUCAUAUAAUGAUUCCAUCUCGAACUGAGCAAAGGUUGUGAUGUCAUUCCUCAACUUGGCUGUUUUUACUGGAGGAAAGUACUUUGCUAAAAACUUCUGCGCUAGACCAUCCCAUGUAGUGAUUGUUCCAGCAGGGAGUGAGUUCAACCACUCUUUUGCUUUAUCCCUCAGUGAGAACGGAAAAAGCCUUAGCCUGAUAGCAUUGUCUGAAACACCAUUUUGCUUAAAUGUGUCACAAAUUUCUAAAAAAUUUGCAAUAUGAGCAUUUGGAUCAUCAUUUGGCAUCCCAACAAAUUGAACUGAAGUCUGAAUCAUCUGGAUUAUGGCUGGCUUAAUUUCAAAAUUAUUGGCUUGAACGGCAGGGCGUGCAAUGCUUGAACGAGCUCCAUUAACUGUAGGCACAACAUAAUCUCUUAAAGGUCUCGCAUCCUCAUUUCCAUGUAAUGCUUCGUCAGCCAUGAUUAAUUGUUGCUCCUGUAAAACUUCUCUUCUUUCUUUAUUAAGCCUUCUACACGUACGUUCAAUCUCUGGAUCAAAAGGCAAUAAAUCAAAACUUCUUGAACGUCUCAUAAAAUUAAACAAGAAAAAAAAAUAAAAUAAAAUAAAAUUCAAAUUCAAAUUAAACUAAGGUUAGUUGAGUAUUCCCCCUUGUCACGCGGGUGACCCGGGUUCGUUCCCCGGCAACGGCGCCAAAAACUUGAUGCGUAAAUUAGCAAGUGUACUAGUCGGCACAAUUAAUAUAAUGAAGAGUAGAGUAUCGUCCCACAGAGAUUGUAUAUCCUAUUAGUUACCGAAAUUAUUCUAACCCUAAUUUAUUUGAACAAUCGAAUAAGUGAAUUUAUAUUAAAAUUAAAUAAAAUAAAAUAAUUAAAAAUUAAAUAAAGACACAGGCAGUAAUAGAAAUCACCAAGAGAUUAAGACACUAGGACAUCCGAUUUCACCAUAACCAAUCCAAUUUAAUCCUCCAUCUAUGCUAUUAAACUUUACUAUCCAUGUUGACAGUGAAUUUCUCUAAUCCAUUCAAUAUCCUCUCUCGAGUAAUAUUAAAAAUACCUUCACACAUUAACCCACUAUAUCUCUAUGUGAAUUUAAAUAUGCAAAGAUUCAAUAAGUUCCAUGAAAAUUCUUAGAAAAACUGCACAAAUCACGUUGGCACAUCUCUGUCUUUUGUUCAAUUCAUGGCAUUCAUUACACAGAGCAAAAAUACAUAAAUCUCCUCUCGGUCUCAUUAUAUAUCCUCAAAUCAUUCAAAUAUUGGCCAGAUAUUUAAACGAAGAAAGCAAUUAAAAUAAAGGAGAAUUCAAUAAGAUAAGAAUUACCAAGGUUUCAGAAUCCACCACUAUUCAACUAGUAAUUAUCUAAUUAUUAAUUAAUCCCCAAUUUUAGAGUGACAACUCGAAAUCAAUCUUUGUCAUCUCAUGGAUAUAACAAUUAAGCCCAAGUAAUUAAAUCUAAUGUAGGUUCUUUUUCUGCUUAAUAGUAUGACAUCUAAGUGUCCCAUGUAAACGUAUUGAAUAACAAAGAGUCAAAGUUUUCCUAAGUACUCUGUGUAAACAGUUUAAUGAAAGACAUAAAAUCAAAGAUAAUCAUAUAUAAACUUUAUAAAUCCAAGUAUAGAUUUAAUCGAAUAUUAAUCAUAACAAUCAAUAAUGCAUGACAGAAUUGAUGAAAAGAUUUUAAUAACAUCCAAUUAAUCAUGUGAAAUAAAAACUAUAAUCAUCGAAGAACAUAUAUAGGGAAUUAAAUAAAUAAAAAGAUAAUUAUUUCAUUGAAUAGAGUUUCAUCCUUAACCUCAGUAUAAGAAAAUUAGCUAGACAUAUUUGAAUUGAGAGCAACAAAAUAAAUAAAUUCAGCCAUAGGAAGCCGAAAUAUUGCUGCUCUUGCUAUUCUUCUUCUGUUCAAAGCCGAAUUCUGCUUCUUCUCUCUCGCUCUCUGGCAGCUACCUCUCCUUUCAAAAGCCAAAAGCUUAGCUUUCUUAUAUACCCUUUAAAAUGGGCCCCACCUUGUCAAUUCUAAAGCCAAAAGGGUUUGGCCUUUUAUUUGUUUUGCUUCACUCACGUGGGCACUUUGAAUUGUAAUAGGUUUCCUUUUUCCAUUUAUGAAAGCCAAGUGGGGUCCCUUCUUAAAGCUAAAAUCAAUUUCUCUCUUUUGUCCGCAUGUGCAUGAUGAAUUAACUUGUUGAAUUCGGUUCCUUGGCUUGACUUCCACAUGUACGUAUGUCUAAUUCUUUCCAAAAAUCAAUUAAUCUUUAAUGCUUUCAAACUUGAGCUUCUUUAUGCCUUUUUAUCCAUAAUCUCCAAUUAAUCCUAUAUUCAAUAAAAUAAUUCAAUUAAUUAAAAAUAACAAAUGAAAAUAGCUAGUAAUUAUAUAAUUAAGGGUAAAAUAUGUAUAUAAAUUAUGCUCAUCAAAUACCCCCAAACUUAGAUUUUGCUAGUCCUCAAACAAAACUAAAACUUAAAACAAAAAUAAAAAUAACAAAACAAAAAGUAAAUCCUAACUAAACCACUUUCGCAGGUAAUCGCGAUUGCAUUUAGCGUAUGCAACAAGCCUUUAAACCCUUAGGCGGCACUAGUGGACAAGUUGUAGUCUCGUGAGGGCUUCAGUGAUGAUACCCACAAACACCAUUAAAAAAAAUAAAAUAAAAUAAAAUAAAAGGAACAAAAAACUUUAAAUAAAACAUGAAAAUAGCCUCAAAGAUUGCAUAAAUUAUAUAGCUCAAAGAAAAUUUCAAAUAUUGGCAAAGUUUUAACUUUAAUUCAAUAAUCAAUCUCAUCUCUCUUUCGAUUCAUGUAGUGUGUGUGUGAAAUCAAUUCAAUCAAAUUCAUUCCCAAAAUCUUCAACAUCAACAACCUUCGCCUCAAACAAAGAGAAUCGCAGGUCAAACUAAUCUUAUCAUCUUGAUCUCCAAUUUUUUUUUCACAGGCUUUUAUGUGCAUUUUCUUGUGAUUUUUUUUUCAGCACAUGCACUUGAUUUGAUUUUUCUUUUUCUCUUUUUUUUUUCUUCUUCUUUUUUUUAACCAUAGUCAGAAGCUUUCACUCUACCCCUUAAGGUAGCCUUCUUCUCAUGGUAGAUUAUCCUCUACAUACUUGUGGUACAUAGGCCCAAAUUACUCAAGGAUAGCUUCACUCUUAAGGGUUAUAGGUAGCUAUUUCUGAAUUUAGCGCCUGUGUAUACUAUUUUGUAUUGUGGAGAUAAGAAUCAAGACAAACAGUCAUUUACUCUAUCUAAAAUUCUUAACUCAGGCUGCGUCAAUCUCAAAUUUCAAGUCCAAAUUACAAAAGAACGACCUAAUUGCAAGAAACUUGGGAGGCAACCCAAGCUUUCUAAACUUUAUUAUUGUCAUUUUUUUUCUUUUUUUUCUUUUUUUUUUCUUUUCUUUUACUUAUUUUGUUUUGUUUUAGGAUUUUGCACAAGUUUGAGGGUCAAUGAACAUCAAUUUUCCACAUGCCUUUCAACGACUCAGCUACAACUUUACAUCUUCAAGUGCAAAACCAGGGGAAUUUUCUCUUUUCCUUUUCUUUUUCUUUACAUUGAGGACAAUGUUUAUUUUAAGUUUGGGGGUGGGAAUAUUUUCUUUCAUUUUUUUCAUAAAAAAAAAAGAAAAGAAAAAAGAAGAAGAGAUUUUAAUGCCUAUGAUGAGUUUAUGAUUGAAAAUGAAUAUGGUUUUUAGAAAGGGAUGAAUAUUGUCUUAGUUUAUACUUGAUUCUUGUGUUAGUUUCGUCUUGAUUGAGAUUCUUUAAAUAUCUUGCGCACUUAUAUCGAUUCUUUCAGAAUUUUGACUUGAGAUUUGAGAUUGAUACAGCCUAAGUUGAGAAUUUUAGAUUGAGUAAAUAAUUGUUUGCCUCUGUAACUAAUGGGAUAUACAAUCUCUGUGGGACGAUACUCUACUCUUCAUUAUAUUACUUGCGCCGACUAGUACACUUGCUAAUUUACGCAUCAGACACCCGAUUGCGAAGAGGCUUUCUAAGAACUGAAGGGGUACCUCGUGAAUGCUCCACUACUUGCCAAACAUGAGCCGGGAGAGGGGCUUCUGUUGUAUCUCGCUGUAUCCGAGCAUGCCACCAGCUCCGUGUUACUCCGAGAGGAUGAUAAUGGGAUACAACGACCUAUUUACUACACUAGUAAGGCUAUGGUUGAUGCCGAAAAGAGGUACCCCACCUCUGAAAAGAUCGUUUUGGCAUUGGUUGUCUCCGCACGGAAGCUCAGACCAUAUUUUCAAGCUCACACCAUUGUAGUCGUCACCAACCUUCCCCUCCGGCAAAUCCUCCAGAAGUUAGACAUGUCCGGAAGGCUUCUCUGAUGGUCCCUCGAAUUAGGCGAGUUUGAUAUCAUCUUCAAGCCUCGAUCGGCGAUUAAAGCCCAAGCCAUCGCUGAUUUCAUUGCGGAAUUUGCCAAUGACUUAAGUGGUGAAGGUGAUCUGAGGUACCUGUCAGAUACCCCAUCCACCGACGAAGGGGACAAGUCUGGGAAAUAUAUGUAGAUGGUUCCUCUAACUCACACGGAAGUGGUGCGGGAGUUAUUAUAAUCGACCCGAACAAGGUGAAAAUAUGCUACGCUUUGCAAUUUGGAUUCAAGGCUUCAAACAAUGAAGCCGAAUACGAGGCCAUUAUAGCAGGGUUGAGGAUGUCGAAGGCUUUGGGAGCAAAGAGGGUACACAUCAAGAGCGACUCCCAGUUGGUGGUAAGCCAAAUUACUGAACAAUAUCAAACGAAAGAGGAAAACAUGAAGGGGUACCUCAGAAAAAUCAGAGAAUUGAUGUCCCAAUUUUGCGAGGUUAAGGUGGAAAGGGUACUGUUGAGUGUUAGAAAAUGCAUAUUUAUAAAGGAGAAAACCGUCAUUUUACAUUUCAAGUCUUACUAACAACCUUUACUUUUAUGUAUUUAACAUUCUUGUGAUUUAAUUACGUGUGUUUUAUUUUAAUUAAGUAAUUUAUGUAUUUUAGGGGCAUUAUAGUCAUUUCAUAAUAAAGGAGAGAUCAGACGGCAAAACGGACAUCACUUUUGAACUCAGGACGGUCGAAAACCUUAGGAGGAGCAUAAAAGGAAAAAUGAUACUAUUCACAUGUACGGUACUAUUCACGUACACGGUACUGUAUACGUUACUGUUCACGGCACUGUUCACAUAGACGGAUCGAUGACGUGGCAUUGACCGAUGAUGUGGCAUUGACUGAUGAGGUGUCACGAUCCUAUUGGGCUAAAAUUCUUAUGUACUGUUGAUGGUGACGUGGCAGUAUAUCAGUGGACGAAAAAUCUCGCGUACGGCGCAUGCAUCACACAGGAUUAGUUUCAACCAAACCGCGUUACUGUUCAUCCGGGUCAAACCGCGUUACUGUUCAAAGUCGGGUCAAACCGUGUUACUGUUCAUCCGCGUGGUCAAACCGUGGACUGUUGACUGAUGACGUGGCGCAAUCCUGAGCGUCCAAACUGUUUUUAAUCCGAUGGCCAUGAUUUACUCCAUGUAUCUAUAAAAAGGGGGCCUCUCCCCCCUAAUUUGAUAUCUCUGAAUCCAUUUUUGGGAUCCAUUUUCUGUAAUUCCUUCUCCAUCUUGUAUUUUCUUUGUAUUUUAAUAAAUUCCCAUUUUGCCCCUAGUUCAAUUAUGAGUAGCUAAUUUCCUUUCAAGCUUGGGUUGAAGGUGAAGUCUCAACAUGUGUCAUGGGCUUUAUUUGGUAAAUUUAUUUUCUUUUCCCCUCUAGUUUUUGUGGAUGAUUUGACUUAUCGUCGACAAAUAAUACUGAUCUUGUCUAGAUACCGCCUUGGUUACACCGGCUCUCUAGUAUAAGGUUAUUAUUAUUUGGCACGAUAAGCCCUUAGCACCAUAUUGAUUAGAGCGUAGUUCAUGAGGUGUGGAUUCCCCCCUCAUGAUUUAAUUGGCAUUAAUACGGAUUAUUUAGCCCAUGAUGCAUGUUGAUACGGAUCCAGAUACCCAAGUACGUCAUUUCAAUACAUUUCUCUUCAAUUUAUUCUCGCCAUUGCAAUUCCAAUUUUAGAAUUUAUUCUCGCCAUUUUAAUUUAAGUUUUAGCAUAUUCUUAAUCAUUUCCACCACAGAUCCAAUCAACCAUUUGCAAAAUUAAUUCUAUACACAAUUAAAAUCCACCUCCUCGUGGGAUCGACACUCGUCACCAUUGAUCUAUACUACAAUAGAUUCGUGCGCUUGCGAGUACAUUAAAAUUUACACAACAAGUUUUUGGCGCCGUUGCCGGGGAGGUAAGUAGUUUUAAUUCAUAGAAUUAAUUUUUGUGAAUAAUUUCUUUUAUUUGUUUUCUUGUAUUUUUUUUAUUAUUAAAAAAAAAAGAAAAAAAAAAGUAAAUCUACAUUUAAAGGUUAGUAUUUCUUUUCUUUUUCCCUUCUUUAAAAUUCUGUAAUUUAAUUUUCAAUUUAUUUUUUUUCUUUGUAAUUUUUUUUUAUUUUAUUAAUUUAAUUUUUAGUUAAUUUAUUUCACGUAUUUUUUUUUGUGUAUUUUUAUAGAAAGGUUGUAACAGCGUAAUAAGGUUAGUAUCGUAAUUUCUCCCUCUUCUUUAUUUUUAUUUGUUUUGUUCUCAUCUUUAUUUUUUAUUUGUUUUGUUCCCAUCUUUAUUUUUUGUUUUGUUUGCAUCUUUAUUUUUAUUUUAUUUAUUUUGCAUGCAUGGUCGUAGGUCAUUAUUACCUAAUCUUGAACCUAUAGACCUUGAAUUAGAAAAAACACUUCGCACACACAAACACGUUCAAAAUAAAAUGGAUUUACAAGCACCACAGGAGAGGCCAUUUAAGGACUAUUUUAGUCCCUUAGCUAAUUUGAGCACGUCAUGCAUAAGAUACCCAAAUGUAGCUGCUAGGAGUUUUGAAUUAAAACCUAGUGUGCUAAAUUGUCUCCCCACAUUCUAUGGCCUAGAAAAUGAGGACCCAUAUAAUCAUCUGAAUGAUUUUCAUACCAUUUGUCAAACUUUUAAAUAUGAAAAUUUUUCAGACGAUGAUGUUAAACUUAGAUUAUUCCCAUUUUCUUUAAAGGAUAGAGCUCGUUCAUGGUUAAAUACAUUGCCUGCUAAUAGCAUUGCAUCAUGGGAACAAAUGGUUACAAAAUUUCUAAAUAAAUAUUUCCCAGUGCAUAAAACCAAUUCUAUUCGCAGGGAAAUUUCAGAGUUUACCCAGAGAGAGGACGAGCAAUUUUUCGAAACAUGGGAGCGAUUCAAUGGGCUACUCUUGAAGUGUCCACAUCAUGGGUACGAAAAAUGGCAUCAAUGCCAAUACUUUUUGGAGGGAUUAUUGCCGAAUGUGCAAGAAUGGCUAAUGGCAACAAGUGGAGGAGAGCUAAUGUCAAAAAGUGCAUCAGAAAUUUGGGAAUUCUUCCAGCGACAAGCAGAUAAUUCCCAACAACGGAGUCGAUCACUCAGGACUACUAGAAGAAUUAAGGGAGUAAAUGAGGUUCAAAUUGGCGAAUCAACUUCAGGAAUCAAAGAAGUCAAGGAGAUGGUUGAAGGUCUUGCUCGACAAAUAGCAUCGUUAUCGACUGCUAAAUCAACAGAGCCACAUGACCCUGACUCAUAUCCAGAUCAAGCCAAUGCCAUAGGUGUAAUGAGAAAGCCUUCAAAUUACAACCCAUACUCCAACACAUAUAACCCUGGAUGGAGAGACCACCCCAAUUUUUCAUGGUCUCAAGGAUUCCAACAGAAUGGACCAGCAGCUCCAGCUCCACCAAUUUCUCAAAUUCCUCAAGCCUCUCAGCCCCCAUUUAGACCAUACAAUCAGAACCAGAACUACUCUCAACCUAGACCAUGGGAGGAUGCAUUCCAGAAUUUUAAGAAUGUUACUCAUUCUACCAUUGAGCAACAGAAUCGCACCAUUGAUGGACUUCGAAAUGAGUUGAGGGCAGGCUUCAAUUCUCAAGCUCAAUCAGUUUCAAGCCUCGAGAAGAUGGUGGGACAACUCGCUUCUUCAGUUCAGACCUUGGCAAUGACUGUUGAGAAAGGCAAGUUUCCAAGUCAACCAGUGCCUAACCCUAAAGGAGUACAUGAAGCAAGUACCAGUUCACCACAACAGCAUGGAGAGGUCAAAGCAGUAAUGACCUUGCGAAAAGGAAAGGAAGUCGACAACAAAGUAGAGAUGCCGGUGACAAAAGAAAAUCAAAUUGUACAUGUGAAUGUUGAGGACUCACCACCGGAGGAGAAAGAAGAAACCAACCCACGAGAGUACGUUCCCAAAGCUCCAUUUCCUCAGAGGUUAGCUAAAGGGAAAAAGGGAAAAUCCACAGGUGAGAUUCUCGAAAUCUUCAAACAGGUAAGUGUUAACAUCCCUUUACUUGAUGCUAUUAAACAAGUUCCAUCUUAUGCCAAGUUUCUUAAAGACCUUUGUACUAAAAAGAGAAAUAUGCAUGUUCAAAAGAAGGCAUUUUUAACAGAAAACGUUAGUUCUAUACUCCAACAUAAAAUUCCUUUAAAAUGCAAAGACCCAGGCUCCCCCACUAUUUCAUGUAGCAUAGGGAACCACACAAUUGAGAAUGCUUUGUUGGAUUUAGGAGCUAGUGUAAAUUUGUUGCCUUAUUCAGUAUUCGUGAAACUUGGACUGGGAGAAUUACACCCAACUCCAGUGGUGUUACAGCUUGCAGAUCGGUCCAUGAAAAUACCUCGUGGUAUUGUGGAGGACGUGCUUAUCCAGGUAGACAAGUUUUAUUUUCCUGUUGAUUUCAUUGUAAUUGACACUCAACCAAUACAGGAUUCAAGGAAGCACAUCCCCAUUAUCUUAGGCCGACCUUUCUUGGCAACUGCGGAUGCUCACAUUCAAUGCAGGACCGGAAAUAUGCAGUUGUCCUUCGGCAACAUGACUAUGGAGCUAAAUAUCUUCAACAUUGCCAAACAACCUCACAGUGCAGAUGAUGGAAUUGUUGAUGUGGAUUUAAUUGAAGCAUUAGUUGAUGAUACUUUUGUUUCAAACCUUAGUGAUGAUCCUUUACAAACAUGUUUAACUCACUUUGGUUUGGAUUUUGAUAUUGACAGAUCGGUCGAAGAAGUCAACGCCCUACUUGACUCAGCACCAUCCAUGGACACUAAUAAAUGGAAGUCAAGAGUUGAACAACUAGCACCAUCAGAAAAGAAACUCAUCCCAUCAUCAGAAUCACCACCGAAACUCGAGCUCAAACCAUUGCCCAACACAUUGGAAUAUGCAUUUUUGGGAGAAGAAAGUACUUUGCCGGUAAUCAUCUCAUCAUCCCUAAAUGACGAACAAAAAGGUAAGUUGUUGGAUGUUUUAAAAGAGCACAAAGGAGCAUUAGGAUGGACCAUAGCAGACAUUAAAGGUAUAAACCCAGUAGACUGCAUGCAUUACAUUCACCUUGAUGAAAAUGCUAAAACUACUAGGGAGAUGCAACGUCGGUUAAAUCCUAAUAUGAAAGAAGUUGUUAGAACUGAAGUCCUUAAGCUAUUAGACGCAGGUAUCAUUUACCCAAUUUCUGAUAGUUCAUGGGUCAGUCUUGUACAAGUUGUCCCCAAAAAGUCAGGAGUCACAGUAGUUACGAAUGCCGAUAAUGAAUUGAUACCAACUAGAGUGACUACAGGAUGGCGUGUAUGCAUUGAUUAUAGAAAGUUGAAUUCUGUCACACGUAAAGACCAUUUUCCUUUACCAUUUAUUGAUCAAAUGCUUGAUAGAUUAGCAGGCCAUGAAUUUUAUUGCUUUCUAGAUGGCUACUCAGGAUAUAAUCAGAUUCCCAUAGCACCAAAAGAUCAAGAGAAAACUACUUUCACUUGCCCUUUUGGCACAUUUGCAUAUAGGAGAAUGCCAUUUGGAUUAUGUAAUGCACCUGCUACAUUUCAACGAUGCAUGUUGAGCAUUUUUUCUGAUAUGGUUGAACGAUUCCUUGAAGUCUUUAUGGAUGAUUUUUCUGUCUUUGGUGACUCGUUUGAUCAAUGUUUACAUCAUCUAACGCUAGUUCUGCAGAGAUGUACCGAGAAGAACUUAGUCUUGAAUUGGGAGAAGUGCCAUUUUAUGGUAAAACAAGGUAUUGUUCUCGGUCACAUCAUUUCGAGCAAAGGUAUUGAGGUUGACAAAGCCAAGGUGGAUCUCAUUUCUAAUCUUCCUCCACCUAAAAUAGUCAGAGAAGUAAGAUCUUUCCUUGGGCAUGCUGGUUUCUAUAGACGUUUCAUUAAAGAUUUUAGCAAAGUUUCUAGACCCUUAUGCAAUUUACUUGCUAAGGAUGUACCUUUUAUCUUUAAUGAUUCAUGUCUCAUGGCGUUUGAAAAAUUAAAGCAAUUGUUGACAUCAUCACCCAUCAUUCAGGCCCCAAACUGGAGCUUACCAUUUGAGCUCAUGUGUGAUGCAUCUGAUUAUGCAGUAGGAGCAGUAUUAGGACAAAGAGUUGAUCGAAUUCCUCAUGUUAUUUACUAUGCUAGUAUGACAUUGAAUGAUGCACAGUUGAACUAUUCAACUACUGAAAAAGAAAUGCUAGCAGUAGUGUUUGCAUUGGAAAAAUUUCGAUCUUAUCUCAUUGGUUGUAAAAUAAUUGUGUUCACAGAUCAUGCUGCUCUUAAAUAUCUUCUCACAAAGAAAGAUGCAAAAGCUAGACUAAUUCGUUGGGUAUUACUUUUGCAGGAGUUUGACUUGGAAUUCAAAGAUAAGAAAGGCACAGAGAAUAUUGUGGCGGACCACCUCUCUCGUCUCCAUUUUGACACAAUAACAGAGCCAUUAAUAUUGAAUGAGUCAUUCCCAGAUGAACAAUUAAUGAGUGUGGAAGUAUUACCUUGGUAUGCUGAUAUAGUUAAUUAUCUUGUUACAGGUAAACUUCCAGAGCAUUGGACCAAGCAAGACAAGGCUAAAUUCUUUGCAGAGAUAAAGAAUUUCUUUUGGGAUGACCCAUAUUUGUUCAAGUAUUGUGCAGACCAAAUUGUUAGACGAUGUGUCCCUGAAAAUGAAAUUCAGAAUAUUCUUUCAUUCUGCCAUGAAGAAGCUUGUGGAGGCCAUUUCAGUGCUAAGAAAACGGCGACUAAAGUUUUACAAUGUGGUUUUUAUUGGCCAACUAUAUUUCGAGAUGCUUACACUUUCUGUUCUUCAUGUGAUAGGUGUCAACGAAUGGGGAGCAUUACACGAAGGAACAUGAUGCCACUAAAUCCAAUUUUAGUGGUUGAGAUUUUUGACGUCUGGGGUAUUGACUUCAUGGGACCUUUUCCCCCUUCUUUUGGCCAUCAAUACAUAUUGGUUGGUGUUGACUACGUCUCAAAAUGGGUGGAAGCAAUUCCAUGUAGGACCAAUGAUCACAAAGUGGUGAUAGGAUUUUUGAAAAGCAACAUUGUUUCACGCUUUGGAUUCCCUCGAGCAAUAAUCAGUGAUGGUGGUGCCCACUUUUGUAACAAAGCAUUCAAAGCUCUUUUGACAAAGUAUUCAAUCACACACAAAGUGGCGACCCCGUAUCAUCCGCAAACCAGUGGCCAAGUUGAAAUCUCCAAUCGAGAAAUAAAGCACAUAUUAGAGAAGACGGUGAGGCCAGACAGGAAAGAUUGGUCAUUAAGACUUGAUGAUGCAUUAUGGGCAUAUAGAACGGCUUUCAAGACCCCGAUUGGGAUGUCACCCUACAGGCUAGUGUAUGGAAAAGCUUGCCACCUACCUGUAGAACUCGAGCAUCGUGCAUAUUGGGCCAUCAAGAAAUUCAACUUUGACAUGCAGCAAGCCAGCUCAGAAAGAAGAUUACAACUGGCAGAACUUGAAGAAAUUCGCAAUGAUGCAUACGAAAAUGCCAGAAUUUACAAGCAACGAAUGAAAGUCUUUCAUGACAAGCACAUUAUGAGAAAAUCUUUCACUCCAGGUCAGAAAGUGCUUUUAUUCAAUUCUCGCUUGCACCUAUUCCCAGGUAAGUUACGCUCUCGUUGGUCUGGUCCAUUUAUUGUUCAUACUGUUUUUCCACAUGGGGCAAUUGAAAUUAAAGACCCAAAGAACGGUGUCACGUUUAAAGUCAAUGGUCAAAGAUUAAAGCCAUAUUUAGAGUACCAAGCACAUGGAGAAGACACCGAAAUAAAUUUGAGUGACCCACCAGAUUUGAAUUGAUUUUUUUUUUCUCUUCGUUGAUUUGAUUUUUCUUUCUUUCUUUUUAUUUGUUAAUUGAAAUUAUUUUUGCAUAAGUGUGUUUGUUUUUCCAUUAAGUUUUUUUUUCUUAUCAUUGUUAAUCAUGAGUACCAUACUUAGACCAUUCCUCCUGAACAUUCUUAAACCAUUUCAACGUGUCAAAACUCAUCUCAUAAGGCAGAUUCAAUUUUGUAAAACACAUCGUAUUUGGGCUCUACAACCACCAGAGUUAGUAGCCUAUGUUGAGGGUUUAGAAAGCCAACUCAGAGAUAUUGAGAGAAGUGUUUACGACAUCCAGUUGGAGCUUGAGGUAAAUUCAAUAAGAGGACGAUUUUAAUUUUCUUUGUGUGUUUUAAUUUGUUUUUCUGUUUGUGUGCUUUAGUUUGUUACCCCGGUGAAGUGGCGGAUAACGGUACUCCGUGACAAUCAAGUCGGUUACUUCAGUUUCCCAUAAUAACUGAUAUUCUGAGGCGAAGGUAUGGACAGAAACGAAAUUCUAGCAAAGCUUCACAAGCGAUUCCCUUCACUCCCUCAGAAUGCCCUCCUUACGAUCUAUAAAGCCCGAUCUGAACGCAUGCGAUUACUCAUGAGGAAUAACAUACCUGCAGACAUCCGUUGGUUAAUCGAGGCUAAAGUACGAUUGGCAGGUGAGUUACCUCCUAAAUUUAUUGCAUACAUGCCUGGUUGUGGUAAAGGAAAUUAUGCAAGAAAACGACGAGCUCGAAGAAUUUAUGUUGCUUGUCACAAGUGUGCCAGAAUGAGUUGCGAUAGAAACCCAUGUUCUUUAGGAAUGAUGUCUGAUAACAGAGAAGAUAAGAUUCAAUUCAUUAGGGAUGGCUUGAAUAAGGAGUCAUUGGAUGAUAUCCUUUUGUCUCUUGAAACGCAUCCCAGUGGAUAUGUGCAAGGAGCGAUUCUCCAUUUAUGGCCAUUAUUCCAGAAAGAGCAUGCACGAUAUAGUCUCGGGAAUCUGACUAUAAACGACCCUGUUUGCCGGUUUAUAAGAAAACUGGAUGGGAAGCCUAUCCUUGACCCAUAGAGGGCGUUCAAGCCGUUUCUGGACGUAAAACCAGAGGAAGAUGUGAGCCACAGUCGCAACUACGUGUAAAUAUCCUUUUACUUUACUGUUAUUUUAUUUCAUUUCACUGUUGUUUUAUUGUUUGCAUUAUUGUCUUUAAUAAUUUUAUUACUGUUUGCUUUUUCCUUUUUACUGUUUCCUUUUUGACUCGCGAGCCAUGUGCUUCACGCGUUAUUUGACACUAACAUGUUACCUCAUUCACAGCUGUGACCCACUAUCACCAAGAUUCUUAAAUGUGAUUUCUUUUGUCAAACACUCACAAAUUAUUUUUGAGAAAUAUUCCAAUGGCAGCUACUCCCAAUAGACAAUUCAAGAACAUUUGUGUGCUUUCUGGAUUUACCUAUGGCAAACAUAAAGAGUUCGUUGAGGCAGCCAUAGAUCUUGGUCGAAGCAUAGCAGCGAGAAAUUUACAUUUGGUGUAUGGAGGAGGUAACCGAGGGUUAUCAAAAAUGGUCUCAGAAGCAGCUUUUAUCAGAGGAAGCCAAGUGUUAGGCAUCAUCCCAAGAAUCCUAAAACCAUUGGGCAGCUCGUCUGACUCAUCAACUGGAGAAGAGUUAGUCGUCUCAGGUAUGCAAGAACGAAUAACUGAAAUGCUUAAUCAUGCUGAUGCUUUUAUUUUCCUUCCAGGAGAUCUUGCAACACUAGAGGCACUUAUGACACUAGCAUCUUGGGCCCAUCUGCACAUUCACCAGAAACCCAUCGGUUUGUUAAAUGUCAAUAACUUUUAUGAUGGCUUUAUCGCAUUUCUUAACCAUGCAAUAAAAAACUAUUUCAUUCCUUCUAAUGUGAAAAAACUCUUUAUUUGUGCUCACACUGCUAAUGAGCUACUUGAUAUGUUACAAGCUUAUAAACUGGAGCCAGACCCCUGGACCUUUGUGUUGGAGCGACCAAAUAAUGAUGGUAACAGUAGCCGCAGUAAGAAGUACAAAUUAGAUUUAACUCUCCGCCUGUAAAUAUUUUCUUCUGUGUUGCACCACCCAGGUGAUGUCUUCUAAACUCUACUUCUUUCCUUUCAAACAUUGAGGACAAUGUUUCGUUCUGGUUGGGGGGAGGGAAUAGUCGACAAUUGUGGAAUCUUGGUUAAGUUUUUACUGAUUUUUUGUUGUAGAAACUAACUGUUGCUAACGUUUUAUGUUGAAGAUGGCUGAAUAUGGAGUGUAGUUACUCUAGAAACGCAUCUUCAUCGUUAAAAAAAAAAAAAAAACAAAAAACAAAAAAAAACAAAAAAAAAAAACAAAACUGUUUUCUUCCUUUUUCUCCUUUAUAAAUAUAUAUUUUCCAAUUUUUGAGUCGAAGAUGGCUGAAUAUGGAGUGUCGUGCCUCUAGAAACGCAUCUUCUUAGUUAAAAAAAAAAAAAACAUUUCUUUUUCUAAUAAAUUUUUCUACAUCAUUUUCACAUUUCUGCAUGCAUAUUUUCCUUUCAUGUUUAGAAUAGGUUGGGGGGUAGAAUGUUGUUAAAAAAAAAAAAAAAAAAUUGUGUUAUUUGUUUUAACAUUGGAUGACAUGAUUAAUUUCAAAUUUUAGUAUUUGUAUUAUCUUUGGUCUUAAGUGAUGUUACGCUAUGUUUGCUACUUUACAUGUUGAUGUCGGAGACAAAUAUGAGUUGCUUGAAGGAAUGAACAUGUCAUAAAUAAGUGCCAAGUGAGUUGUUGAGCCUAUCAUUUUCUUGGAGAGUAACCCUUUUGCCCAUUCUCUAUACAGCUUAGCAGUUUAUUAUUUUAUACACGAUCUCUAGAUUUCUUUUAAGUUAACCCUUUAAAAAAAAAUGGUAAAAUUAAAAAAAAAAGAAAAAAGAAAAAAAUGUGUGUUGCUACAUUGGGAGGCCCAUUUAACUAGUAGAUAUGGAUAAUUAUUUAGAGCCCUAAAAGACGAUGGAAAGGCCAUCUUUGAUCCGUUUGAGCCUUUCUAGCCAUCCCUUUUAUUAAAUAUCCAUAGUUACCCCUUUUGAGCCUUUAAAAAAAAAAAAAAAAAAAGAACAAAAACCUUUUCUUUGUCAACUUAUCAUCUUGACCCACUCCGAUUUGGAGUAUUACCCAAUGUCUUUUAAGUUCCAUCACCUAUUUAUGUUUGAGAAAAUGUAAAUAAUUAUGUUGUUCAGUGAAGUUAUGCCAAAUAAAAGCAAAAAGAAAAAAAAAACAAAAGUUGUUGUUUCAAAAGAAUAAAAAUAACAAUAAUAGGUGAAAUCCACCUUGCAACUUCCAAAAAAAAAAAAAAAAAAAAAAAAUUCUGCAUUUUUCUCAAACAUACACUUUGUUUUCCUUAUUUCCUUUCUUUGUUAGCCAUAUCCCUAGCCUACGUUACGUCCUAAUAAAAGUCCUUCUUGAUUUUAGGGAACUAUAGUUUGAAGUAGAAGCUAGUUAUAUGGGCUAAAAAGAUGUAGUGAUGCAUAAUAAUAAUAAUAAAAAAAAAAGAUAAAUAAAGUGGGUUGACUAACAUUUUAUUUGACUUGAGAUCGUAUUAUUUCUAAGCUGAGGGCAUAUUUAUUUCAUCUUGGUGAGAGCAUGUGAUAUCAUUUCUUUAUAUUUUCUCUCUCAAUUACCAUUCAUUGGAGUGACUAUGUUUAUUGGGUUUUAAUUUCUUUGUGAGAGUGUCACUACUUCCAGUGAGAUUUUGGGGUUUGACAUGUCAUUCUUGAAAGUAGCUAUAACAAAGUCUACUGGGCUAAUUCAUGUGGAUGGUUGAUGUGGGUGUGAUGUUGCUUUAGACUGGAGAUAAUGCUUAUACUUUUAUUUGAUUGCUAUCAUUAAUCUGAUUGAAUAAACACAAGUGUUUCUAUUAAAAAUAUAUAUAUAUAUUUUGAAUUUGAAUUUUGUUUUCGCUUUAUUUGCUAGGGACUAGCAAUAAGCUGGUUGGGGAGUGUGUUGAGUGUUAGAAAAUGCAUAUUUAUAAAGGAGAAAACCGUCAUUUUACAUUUCAAGUCUUACUAACAACCUUUACUUUUAUGUAUUUAACAUUCUUGUGAUUUAAUUACGUGUGUUUUAUUUUAAUUAAGUAAUUUAUGUAUUUUAGGGGCAUUAUAGUCAUUUCAUAAUAAAGGAGAGAUCAGACGGCAAAACGGACAUCACUUUUGAACUCAGGACGGUCGAAAACCUUAGGAGGAGCAUAAAAGGAAAAAUGAUACUAUUCACAUGUACGGUACUAUUCACGUACACGGUACUGUAUACGUUACUGUUCACGGCACUGUUCACAUAGACGGAUCGAUGACGUGGCAUUGACCGAUGAUGUGGCAUUGACUGAUGAGGUGUCACGAUCCUAUUGGGCUAAAAUUCUUAUGUACUGUUGAUGGUGACGUGGCAGUAUAUCAGUGGACGAAAAAUCUCGCGUACGGCGCAUGCAUCACACAGGAUUAGUUUCAACCAAACCGCGUUACUGUUCAUCCGGGUCAAACCGCGUUACUGUUCAAAGUCGGGUCAAACCGUGUUACUGUUCAUCCGCGUGGUCAAACCGUGGACUGUUGACUGAUGACGUGGCGCAAUCCUGAGCGUCCAAACUGUUUUUAAUCCGAUGGCCAUGAUUUACUCCAUGUAUCUAUAAAAAGGGGGCCUCUCCCCCCUAAUUUGAUAUCUCUGAAUCCAUUUUUGGGAUCCAUUUUCUGUAAUUCCUUCUCCAUCUUGUAUUUUCUUUGUAUUUUAAUAAAUUCCCAUUUUGCCCCUAGUUCAAUUAUGAGUAGCUAAUUUCCUUUCAAGCUUGGGUUGAAGGUGAAGUCUCAACAUGUGUCAUGGGCUUUAUUUGGUAAAUUUAUUUUCUUUUCCCCUCUAGUUUUUGUGGAUGAUUUGACUUAUCGUCGACAAAUAAUACUGAUCUUGUCUAGAUACCGCCUUGGUUACACCGGCUCUCUAGUAUAAGGUUAUUAUUAUUUGGCACGAUAAGCCCUUAGCACCAUAUUGAUUAGAGCGUGGUUCAUGAGGUGUGGAUUCCCCCCUCAUGAUUUAAUUGGCAUUAAUACGGAUUAUUUAGCCCAUGAUGCAUGUUGAUACGGAUCCAGAUACCCAAGUACGUCAUUUCAAUACAUUUCUCUUCAAUUUAUUCUCGCCAUUGCAAUUCCAAUUUUAGAAUUUAUUCUCGCCAUUUUAAUUUAAGUUUUAGCAUAUUCUUAAUCAUUUCCACCACAGAUCCAAUCAACCAUUUGCAAAAUUAAUUCUAUACACAAUUAAAAUCCACCUCCUCGUGGGAUCGACACUCGUCACCAUUGAUCUAUACUACAAUAGAUUCGUGCGCUUGCGAGUACAUUAAAAUUUACACAACAGGUACCCCAACUGGAGAACAGCGAAGCCGACACUCUGGCAAAAAUGGCGUCCCUUGGUGUAGCUCAGUCAGCUGGCCCCAUCACGACAGAACACAUACCCACCCCCAGCAUUGAUCUCCUAGAGCUGUUGGAAGUAGGAUCACUGUCCAAUGAGGUACUUUGGAUGGAGCCUAUCAUAAGGUACCUCAAGGACGGAGACCUCCCCUCAGAUAAAAGUGAAGUAAGAAGGCUAAAGUAUAAAGCUGCGCGGUACUGCCUGAUCCAAGAUACCCUAUACAGAAGAGGGUUCACUCUUCCUUACCUUAAAUGCUUGGGAAGUGACGAGGCCGAGUAUGUCAUGAGGGAGAUACAUGAGGGGAUUUGUGGCAAUCACUAUGGAGCACAAUCACUGGCGCAAAAAGCUCUCCAUCAGGGGUACUACUGGCCUACCAUGCAGGAAGAUGUCAAGAAUAUGGUACGAAACUGUGACAAAUGCCAAAGGUUCGCCAGGGUACCCCACAUACCCUCAGAGAAGCUAACAGUUAUAUCUUCCCCUUGGCCCUUCGCUAUAUGGGGAGUGAACCUCAUUGGCCCAUUACCUACCGGGAAGGGACAAGCAAAACAUACAAUCGUGGCGGUAGAUUAUUUCACAAAGUAGGCGGAAGCAGAGCCACUAACAAGCAUCACAGAAAGGAAAACCACGGAAUUCAUUUGGAAGAACCUCAUUUGCAAAUUUAGGAUCCCCUAUGCAAUUGUUAGUGAUAACGGCAAGCACUUCGAUAAUGAAAAAUUUCGAAGUUUUUGUUCGGAGCUUGGGAUAGCCAACCAAUUUGCUACACCUGCCCAUCCCCAAUCUAUUGGGCAAGUCGAAGCCGUUAACUGUUGUGCAAAUUUUAAUGAACUCGCAAGCGCACGAAUCUAUUGUAGUGUAGAUCAAUGGUGACGAGUGUCGAUCCCACGAGGAGGUGGAUUUUAAUUGUGUAUAGAAUUAAUUUUGCAAAAUGGGUGGUUGGAAUUGUGGUGGAAGUGAUUUAAAAUAUGCUAAAAUUGGAAUUGCAAUGGCGAGAAUAAAUUGUAGAGAAAAUCGAUUAAAUUGACGUACUUGGGUAUCUGGAUCCGUAUCAACAUGCAUCAUGGGCUAAAUAAUCCGUAUUAAUGCCAAUUAAAUCAUGAUGGGGGAAUCCACACAUCAUGAACCACGCUCUAAUCAAUAUGGUGCUAAGGGCUUAUCGUGCCAAAUAAUAAUAACCUUAUACUAGAAAGCCGGUGUAACCAAGGCGGUAUCUAGACAAGAUCAGUAUUAUUUGUCGACGAUAAGUCAAAUCAUCCACAAAAACUAGAGGGGAAAAGAAAAUAAAUUUACCAAAUAAAGCCCAUGACACAUGUUGAGACUUCACCUUCAACCCAAGCUUGAAAAGAAAUUAGCUACUCAUAAUUGAACUAGGGGCAAAAUGGGAAUUUAUUAAAAUACGAAGAAAAUACAAGAUGGAGAGGGAAUUACAGAAAAUGGAUCCCAAAAAUGGAUUCAGAGAUAUCAAAUUAGGGGGGGGAGGCCCCCUUUUUAUAGAUACAUGGAGUAAAUCAUGGCCAUCGGAUUAAAAACAGUUUGGACGCUCAGGAUUGCGCCACGUCAUCAGUCAACAGUCCACGGUUUGACCACGUGGAUGAACAGUAACACGGUUUGACCCGGAUGAACAGUAACGCGGUUUGGUUGAAAAUAAUCCUGUGUGAUGCAUGCACCGUACGCGAGAUUUUUCGUCCACUGAUAUGCUGCCACGUCACCGUCAACAGUACAUAAGAAUUUUAGUCCAACAGGAUCGUGACACCUCAUCAGUCAAUGCCACAUCAUCGGUCAAUGCCACGUCAUCGAUCCGUCUUUGUGAACAGUGUCGUGAACAGUAACGUAGACAGUACCGUAUAUGUGAAUAGUACCGUACAUGUGAAUAGUGCCAUUUUUCCUUUUAUGCUCCUCCUAAGGUUUUCGACCGUCCUGAGUUCAAAAGUGAUGUCCGUUUUGCCGUCUGAUCUCUCCUUUAUUGUGAAAUGACUAUAAUGCCCCUAAAAUACAUAAAAUACUUAAUUAAAAUAACACACACGUAAUUACAUCACAAGAAGGUUAAAUACAUAAAAGUAAGGGUUGUUAGUAAGACUUGAAAUGUAAAAUGACGGUUUUCUCCUUUAUAAAUAUGCAUUUUCUAACACUCAACACACCCCCCAACCAGCUUAUUGCUAGUCCCUAGCAAAUAAAGCGAAAACAAAAUUCAAAUUCAAAAUGAUUUUUUUUUUUUUUUUUUUGAAACACUCGUGUUUAUUCAAUCAGAUUAAUGAUAGCAAUCAAAUAAAAGUAUAAGCAUUAUCUCCAGUCUAAAGCAACAUCACACCCACAUCAACCAUCCACAUGAAUUAGCCCAGUAGACUUUGUUAUAGCUACUUUCAAGAAUGACAUGUCAAACCCCAAAAUCUCACUGGAAGUAGUGACACUCUCACAAAGAAAUUAAAACCCAAUAAACAUAGUCACUCCAAUGAAUGGUAAUUGAGAGAGAAAAUAAUAAAGAAAUGAUAUCACAUGCUCUCACCAAGAUGAAAUAAAUAUGCCCUCAGCUUAGAAAUAAUACGAUCUCAAGUCAAAUAAAAUGUUAGUCAACCCACUUUAUUUAUCUUUUUUUUUUUUUUUUUAUUAUGCAUCACUACAUCUUUUUAGCCCAUAUAACUAGCUUCUACUUCAAACUAUAGUUCCCUAAAAUCAAGAAGGACUUUUAUUAGGACGUAACGUAGGCUAGGGAUAUGGCUAACAAAGAAAGGAAAUAAGGAAAACAAAGUGUAUGUUUGAGAAAAAUGCAGAAUUUUUUUUUUUUUUUUUUUUUUUUUUGGAACUUGCAAGGUGGAUUUCACCUAUUAUUGUUAUUUUUAUUCUUUUGAAACAACAACUUUUGUUUUUGUUUUUUUUUUUUUUUUUUUACUUUUAUUUGGCAUAACUUCACUGAACAACAUAAUUAUUUACAUUUUCUCAAACAUAAAUAGGUGAUGGAACUUAAAAGACAUUGGGUAAUACUCCAAAUCGGAGUGGGUCAAGAUGAUAAGUUGACAAAGAAAAGGUUUUUGUUCUUUUUUUUUUUUUUUUUUUUUUUUUUUUUAAAGGCUCAAAAGGGGUAACUAUGGAUAUUUAAUAAAAGGGAUGGUUAGAAAGGCUCAAACGGAUCAAAGAUGGCCUUUCCAUCGUCUUUUAGGGCUCUAAAUAAUUAUCCAUAUCUACUAGUUAGAUGGGCCUCCCAAUGUAGCAACACACAUUUUUUUUUUUUUUUUUUUUUCAAUUUUACCAUAUAUAUAUAUUUUUUUAAAGGGUUAACUUAAAAGAAAUCUAGAGAUCGUGUAUAAAAUAAUAAACUGCUAAGCUGUAUAGAGAAUGGGCAAAAGGGUUACUCUCCAAGAAAAUGAUAGGCUCAACUACUCACUUGGCACUUAUUUAUGACAUGUUCAUUCCUUCAAGCAACUCAUAUUUGUCUCCGACAUCAACAUGUAAAGUAGCAAACAUAGCGUAACAUCACUUAAGACCAAAGAUAAUACAAAUACUAAAAUUUGAAAUUAAUCAUGUCAUCCAAUGUUAAAACAAAUAACACAAUUUUUUUUUUUUUUUAAACAACAUUCUACCCCCCAACCUAUUCUAAACAUGAAAGGAAAAUAUGCAUGCAGAAAUGUGAAAAUGAUGUAGAAAAAUUAAUUAGAAAAAGAAUUUUUUUUUUUUUAAACUAAGAAGAUGCGUUUCUAGAGGCACUACACUCCAUAUUCAGCCAUCUUCGACUCAAAAAUUUGAAACUACAUAUUUAUAAAGGAGAAAGAGGAAGAAAACAGGUUUUAUUUAUUUUUUUUUAUUUUUUAUUUUUAAAAACGAUGAAGAUGCGUUUCUAGAGUAACUACACUCCAUAUUCAGCCAUCUUCAACAUAAAAUGUUAGCAACAGUUAGUUUCUACAACAAAAAAUCAGUAAAAACUUAACCAAGAUUCCACAAUUGUCGACUAUUCCCUCCCCCCAACCAGAACGAAACAUUGUCCUCAAUGUUUUAAAGGAAAGAAGUAGAGUUUAGAAGACAUCACCUGGGUGGUGCAACACAGAAGAAAAUAUUUACAGGCGGAGAGUUAAAUCUAAUUUGUACUUCUUACUGCGGCUACUGUUACCAUCAUUAUUUGGUCGCUCCAACACAAAGGUCCAGGGGUCUGGCUCCGGUUUAUAAGCUUGUAACAUAUCAAGUAGCUCAUUAGCAGUGUGAGCACAAAUAAAGAGUUUUUUCACAUUAGAAGGAAUGAAAUAGUUUUUUAUUGCAUGGUUAAGAAAUGCGAUAAAGCCAUCAUAAAAGUUAUUGACAUUUAACAAACCGAUGGGUUUCUGGUGGAUGUGCAGAUGGGCCCAAGAUGCUAGUGUCAUAAGUACCUCUAGUGUUGCAAGAUCUCCUGGAAGGAAAAUAAAAGCAUCAGCAUGAUUAAGCAUUUCAGUUAUUCUUUCUUGCAUACUUGAGACGACUAACUCUUCUCCUGUUGAUGAGUCAGACGAACUGCCCAAUGGUUUUAGGACUCUUGGGAUGAUGCCUAACACUUGACUUCCUCUGAUAAAAGCUGCUUCUGAGACCAUUUUUGAUAACCCUCGGUUACCUCCUCCAUACACCAAAUGUAAUUUUCUCGCUGCUAUGCUUCGACCAAGAUCUAUGGCUGCCUCAACGAACUCUUUAUGUUUGCCAUAGGUAAAUCCAGAAAGCACACAAAUGUUCUUGAAUUGUCUAUUGGGAGUAGCUGCCAUUGUGAUACUUCUCAAAAAUAAUUUGUGAGUGCUUGACAAAAGAUAAAUCACGUUUAAGAAUCUUGGUGACAAUGGAUCACAGCUGUGAAUGAGGUAACAUGUCAGUGUCAAAUAACGCGUAAAGCACGUGGCUCGCGAGUCAAAAAGGAAACAGUAAAAAGGAAAAAGCAAACAGUAAUAAAAUUAUUAAAGACAAUAAUGCAAACAAUAAAACAACAGUGAAAUGAAAUAAAAUAACAGUAAAGUAAAAGGAUAUUUACACGUAGUUGCGACUGUGGCUCACAUCUUCCUCUGGUUUUACGUCCAGAAACGGCUUGAACGCCCUCUAUGGGUCGAGGAUCGGCUUCCCAUCCAGUUUUCUUAUAAACUGACAAACAGGGUCGUUUAUAGUCAGAUUCCCGAGACUAUAUCGUGCAUGCUCUUUCUGGAAUAAUGGCCAUAACCGGAGAAUCGCUCCUUGCACAUAUCCACUGGGAUGCGUUUCAAGAGACAGAAGGAUAUCAUCCAAUGACUCCUUAUUCAAGCCAUCCCUAAUGAAUUGAAUCUUAUCUUCCCUGUUAUCAGACACCAUUCCUAAAGAACAUGGGUUUCUAUCGCAACUCAUUCUGGCACACUUGUGACAAGCAACAGAAAUUCUUCGAGCUCGUCGUUUUCUUGCGUAAUUUCCUUUACCACAACCAGGCAUGUAUGCAAUAAAUUUAGGAGGUAACUCACCUGCCAAUCGUACUUUAGCCUCGAUUAACCAACGGAUGUCUGCAGGUAUGUUAUUCCUCAUGAGCAAUCGCAUGCGUUCAGACCGGGAUUUAUAGAUUGUAAGGAGGGCAUUCUGAGGAAGUGAAGGGAAUCGCUUGUGAAGCUUUACUAAAAUCUCGUUUCUAUCCAUACCUUCGCCUCAGAAUAUCAGUUAUUAUGGGAAACUGAAGUUAACCGACUUGAUUGUCACGGAGUACCGUUAUCCGCCACUUCACCGGGGUAACAAACUAAAGCACACAAACAGAAAAAAAAUUAAAACACACAAAGAAAAUUAAAAUCGUCCUCUUAUUGAAUUUACCUCAAGCUCCAACUGGAUGUCGUAAACACUUCUCUCAAUGUCUCUGAGUUGGCGUUCUAAACUCUCAACAUAGGCUACUAACUCUGGUGGUUGUAGAGCCCAAAUGCGUUGUGUUUUACAAAAUUGAAUCUGCUUUUUGAGAUGAGUUUUGACACGUUGAAGUGGUUUAAGAAUGUUCAGGAGGAACGGUCUAAGUAUGGUACUCAUGAUUAACAAUGAUAAGAAAAAACUUAAUUGUUAAACAAACACACUUAUGCAAAAAUAAUUUCAAUUAGCAAAAGAAUAAUAAAAAGAAAGAAAGAAAAAUCAAAUCAACGAAAAGAAAAAAACAAAUCAAUUCAAAUCUGGUGGGUCACUCAAAUUUAUUUCGGUGUCUUCUCCAUGUGGUUGGUAUUCUAGAUAUGGCUUUAAUCUUUGACCAUUAACUUUAAACGCGACACCGUUCUUUGGGUCCUUAAUUUCAAUUGCCCCAUGUGGAAAAACAGUAUGAACAAUAAAGGGACCAGACCAUCGAGAGCGUAACUUACCUGGGAAUAGGUGCAAGCGAGAAUUGAAUAAAAGCACUUUCUGACCUGGAGUGAAUGAUUUUCUCAUAAUUUGCUUGUCGUGAAAGACUUUCAUUCGUUGCUUGUAAAUCUUGGCAUUUUCGUAUGCAUCAUUGCGAAUUUCUUCAAGUUCUGCCAGUUGUAAUCUUCUCUCUGAGCUGGCUUGCUGCAUGUCAAAGUUGAAUUUCUUGAUGGCCCAAUAUGCACGAUGCUCGAGUUCCACAGGUAGGUGGCAAGCUUUUCCAUACACUAGCCUGUAGGGUGACAUCCCAAUCGGGGUCUUGAAAGCCGUUCUAUAUGCCCAUAAUGCAUCAUCAAGUCUUAAUGACCAAUCUUUUCUGUCUGGUCUCACCGUCUUUUCUAAUAUGUGCUUUAUUUCUCGAUUGGAGAUCUCAACUUGGCCACUGGUUUGCGGAUGAUACGGGGUCGCCACUUUGUGUGUGAUUGAAUACUUUGUCAAAAGAGCCUUGAAUGCUUUGUUACAAAAGUGGGCACCACCAUCACUGAUUAUUGCUCGAGGGAAUCCAAAGCGUGAAACAAUGUUGCUUUUCAAAAAUCCUAUCACCACUUUGUGAUCAUUGGUUCUGCAUGGAAUUGCUUCCACCCAUUUCGAUACGUAGUCAACAGCAACCAAUAUAUAUUGAUGGCCAAAAGAAGGGGGAAAGGGUCCCAUGAAGUCGAUACCCCAUACGUCAAAAAUCUCAACCACUAAAAUUGGAUUUAGUGGCAUCAUGUUCCUUCGUGUAAUGCUCCCCAUUCGUUGACACCUAUCACAUGAAGAACAGAAAGUGUAAACGUCUCGAAAUAUAGUUGGCCAAUAGAAACCACAUUGUAAAACUUUUGUAGCUGUUUUCUUAGCACUAAAAUGGCCUCCACACGCUUGUUCAUGGCAGAAUGAAAUGAUAUUUUGAAUUUCACUUUCUGGGACACAUCGCCUAACAAUUUGAUCUGCACAAUACUUGAACAAAUACGGGUCAUCCCAAAAGAAAUUCUUUAUUUCCGCAAAGAAUUUAGCCUUGUCUUGCUUGGUCCAAUGCUCUGGAAGUUUACCUGUAACAAGAUAAUUAACUAUAUCAGCAUACCAAGGUAAUACUUCCACAUUCAUUAAUUGUUCAUCUGGAAAUGACUCAUUCAAUGGUAAUGAUUCUGUAAUUGUGUCAAAAUGGAGACGAGAGAGGUGGUCCGCCACAACAUUCUCUGUGCCUUUCUUAUCCUUGAAUUCCAAGUCGAAUUCCUGCAAAAGUAACACCCAACGAAUUAGUCUAGCUUUUGCAUCUUUCUUUGUGAGAAGAUAUUUAAGAGCAGCAUGAUCUGUGAAUAUAAUUAUUUUACAACCAAUGAGAUAAGAUCGAAAUUUUUCCAAUGCAAACACUACUGCUAGCAUUUCUUUUUCAGUAGUUGAAUAAUUCAACUGUGCAUCAUUCAAUGUCAUACUAGCAUAGUAAAUAACGUGGGGAAUUCGAUCAACUCUUUGUCCUAAUACUGCUCCUACUGCAUAAUCAGAUGCAUCACACAUAAGCUCAAAUGGUAAGCUCCAGUUUGGGGCCUGAAUGAUGGGUGAUGAUGUCAACAACUGCUUUAAUUUUUCAAACGCCAUUAGACAUGAAUCAUUAAAGAUAAAAGAUACAUCCUUAGCAAGUAGAUUGCAUAAGGGUCUAGAAACUUUGCUAAAAUCUUUAAUGAAACGUCUAUAGAAACCAGCAUGCCCAAGGAAAGAUCUUACUUCUCUGACUGUUUUAGGUGGAGGAAGAUUAGAAAUGAGAUCCACCUUGGCUUUGUCAACCUCAAUACCUUUGCUCGAAAUGAUGUGACCGAGAACAAUACCUUGUUUUACCAUAAAAUGGCACUUCUCCCAAUUCAAGACUAAGUUCUUCUCGGUACAUCUCUGCAGAACUAGCGUUAGAUGAUGUAAACAUUGAUCAAACGAGUCACCAAAGACAGAAAAAUCAUCCAUAAAGACUUCAAGGAAUCGUUCAACCAUAUCAGAAAAAAUGCUCAACAUGCAUCGUUGGAAUGUAGCAGGUGCAUUACAUAAUCCAAAUGGCAUUCUCCUAUAAGCAAAAGUGCCAAAAGGGCAAGUGAAAGUAGUUUUCUCCUGAUCUUUUGGUGCUAUGGGAAUCUGAUUAUAUCCUGAAUAACCAUCUAGAAAGCAAUAAAAUUCAUGGCCUGCUAAUCUAUCAAGCAUUUGAUCAAUAAAUGGUAAAGGAAAAUGGUCUUUACGUGUGACAGAAUUCAACUUUCUAUAAUCAAUGCAUACACGCCAUCCUGUAGUUACUCUAGUUGGUAUCAAUUCAUUAUCAGCAUUGGUAACUACUGUGACUCCUGACUUUUUGGGGACGACUUGUACAGGACUGACCCAUGAACUAUCAGAAAUUGGGUAAAUGAUACCUGCAUCUAAUAGCUUAAGGACUUCUGUUCUAACAACUUCUUUCAUAUUAGGAUUUAACCGACGUUGCAUUUCCCUAGUAGAUUUAGCAUUUUCAUCAAGGUGAAUGUAAUGCAUGCAGUCUACUGGAUUUAUACCUUUGAUGUCUGCUAUGGUCCAUCCUAAUGCUCCUUUGUGCUCUUUUAAAACAUCCAACAACUUACCUUUUUGUUCCUCAUUUAGGGAUGAUGAGAUGAUUACCGGCAGAGUACUUUCUUCUCCCAAAAAUGCAUAUUCCAAUGUGUUGGGCAAUGGUUUGAGCUCGAGUUUCGGUGGUGAUUCUGAUGAUGGAAUGAGUUUCUUCUCUGAUGGUGCUAGUUGUUCAACUCUUGACUUCCAUUUAUUAGUGUCCAUGGAUGGUGCUGAGUCAAGUAGGGCGUUGACCUCUUCGACCGAUCUGUCAAUAUCAAAAUCCAAACCAAAGUGAGUUAAACAUGUUUGUAAAGGAUCAUCACUAAGGUUUGAAAGAAAAGUAUUAUCAACUAUUGUUUCUAUUAAAUCCACAUCAACAAUUCCAUCAUCUGCACUGUGAGGUUGUUUGGCAAUGUUGAAGAUGUUUAGCUCCAUAGUCAUGUUGCCGAAGGACAAUUGCAUAUUUCCGGUCCUACAUUGAAUAUGAGCAUCUGCAGUUGCCAAGAAAGGUCGGCCUAGAAUAAUGGGGAUGUGCUUCCUUGAGUCCUGUAUUGGUUGAGUGUCAAUUACAAUGAAAUCAACAGGAAAAUAAAACUUGUCUACCUGGAUAAGCACGUCCUCCACAAUACCACGAGGUAUUUUUGUGGACCGAUCUGCAAGUUGUAACACCACUGGAGUUGGGUGUAAUUCUCCAAGUCCAAGUUUCACGAAAACAGAGUAAGGCAACAAAUUUACACUAGCUCCUAAAUCCAACAAAGCAUUCUCAAUUGUGUGGUUCCCUAUACUACAUGAGAUAGUGGGGGAGCCUGGGUCUUUGCAUUUUAAAGGAAUUUUAUGUUGGAGUAUAGAACUAACGUUUUCUGUUAAAAAUGCCUUCUUUUGAACAUGCAUAUUUCUCUUUUUAGUACAAAGGUCUUUAAGAAACUUGGCAUAAGAUGGAACUUGUUUAAUAGCAUCAAGUAAAGGGAUGUUGACACUUACCUGUUUGAAGAUUUCGAGAAUCUCACCUGUGGAUUUUCCCUUCUUUCCUUUCGCUAACCUCUGAGGAAAUGGAGCUUUGGGAACGUAUUCUCGUGGGUUGGUUUCUUCUUUUUCCUCCGGUGGUGAGUCCUCAGCAUUUACAGGUACAAUUUGAUUUUCUUUUGUCACCGGCAUCUCCACUUUAUUGUCGACUUCCUUUCCUUUUCGCAAGGUCAUGACUGCUUUGACCUCUCCAUGCUGUUGUGGUGAACUGGUACUUGCUUCAUGCACUCCUUUAGGAUUAGGCACUGGUUGACUUGGAAACUUGCCUUUCUCAACAGUCAUUGCCAAGGUCUGAACUGAAGAAGCAAGCUGUCCCACCAUCUUCUCGAGGCUUGAAACUGAUUGGGCUUGUGAAUUGAAGCCCGCUCUCAACUCAUUUCGUAGUCCAUCAAUGGUGCGAUUCUGUUGCUCAAUCGUGGAGUGAGUAACAUUCUUGAAAUUCUGGAAUGCAUCCUCCCAUGGUCUGGGUUGAGAGUAGUUCUGGUUCUGAUUGUAUGGUCUGAAUGGUGGCUGAGAGGCUUGAGGAACUUGAGGAAUUUGUGGAGCUGGAGCUGCUGGUCCAUUCUGUUGGAAUCCUUGAGACCAUGAAAAAUUGGGGUGGUCUCUCCAUCCAGGGUUAUAUGUGUUGGAGUAUGGGUUGUAAUUAGAUGGCUUUCUCAUUACACCUAUGGCAUUGGCUUGAUCGGAGUAUGAGUCAUGGUCAUGUGGUUCUGUUGAUUUAGCAGUCGAUAACGAUGCUAUUUGUCGAGCAAGACCUUCAACCAUCUCCUUGACUUCUUUGAUUCCCGAAGUUGACUCGCCAAUCUGAACCUCAUUUACUCCCUUAAUUCUUCUAGUAUUCCUGAGUGAUCGACUCCGUUGUUGGGAAUUAUCCGCUUGUCGCUGGAAGAAUUCCCAAAUCUCUGUUGCGCUUUUUGACAUUAGCUCUCCUCCACUUGUUGCCAUUAGCCAUUCUUGCACAUUUGGUAGUAAUCCCUCCAAAAAGUAUUGGCAUUGGUGCCAUUUCUCGUAUCCAUGAUGUGGACACUUCAAGAGUAGCCCAUUGAAUCGCUCCCAUGUUUCGAAAAACUGCUCGUCCUCUCUUUGUGUAAACUCUGAAAUUUCCCUGCGAAUAGAAUUGGUUUUAUGCACUGGGAAAUAUUUAUUUAGAAAUUUUGUAACCAUUUGUUCCCAUGAUGCAAUGCUAUUAGCAGGCAAAGUAUUUAACCAUGAACGAGCUCUAUCCUUUAAAGAAAAUGGGAAUAAUCUGAGUUUAACAUCAUCGUCUGAAAAAUUUUCAUAUUUAAAAGUUUGACAAAUGGUAUGAAAAUCAUUCAGAUGAUUAUAUGGGUCCUCAUUUUCUAAGCCAUAGAAUGUGGGGAGACAAUUUAGCACACUAGGUUUUAGUUCAAAGCUCCUAGCAGCUACAUUUGGGUAUCUAAUACAUGAUGUGCUCAAAUUAGCUAAGGGACUAAAAUAGUCCUUAAAUGGCCUCUCCUGUGGUGCUUGUAAAUCCAUUCCAAUUUUAUUUUUAAUGUGUUUUUGUGUGCGAAGUGUUUUUUCUAAUUCAAGGUCUAUAGGUUCAAGAUUAGGUAAUAAUGACCUACGACCAUGCAUGCAAAAUAAAAAUAAAAAUAAAGAUGGGAACAAAACAAAUAAAAAUAAAUAAGAGGGAGAAAUUACGAUACUAACCUUAUUGCGCUAUUACAACCUUACUAUAAAAAUACACAAAAAUAAAUACGUGAAAUAAAUUAACUAAAAAUUAAAUUAAUAAGAUAAACAAAAAUUACAAAGAAAAAAUAAAUUGAAAAUUAAAUUACAGAAUUUUAAAGAAGAGAAAAAGAAAAGAAAUACUAACCUUUCAAUGUAGAUUUACUUUUUUUUUUUUUUAAUAAAAAAAUACAAGAAAACAAUUUAAAAUAAAUUAUUCACAAAAAUUAAUUCUAUGAAUUAAAAUUACUUACCUCCCCGGCAACGGCGCCAAAAACUUGUUGUGCAAAUUUUAAUGAACUCGCAAGCGCACGAAUCUAUUGUAGUGUAGAUCAAUGGUGACGAGUGUCGAUCCCACGAGGAGGUGGAUUUUAAUUGUGUAUAGAAUUAAUUUUGCAAAAUGGGUGGUUGGAAUUGUGGUGGAAGUGAUUUAAAAUAUGCUAAAAUUGGAAUUGCAAUGGCGAGAAUAAAUUGUAGAGAAAAUCGAUUAAAUUGACGUACUUGGGUAUCUGGAUCCGUAUCAACAUGCAUCAUGGGCUAAAUAAUCCGUAUUAAUGCCAAUUAAAUCAUGAUGGGGGAAUCCACACAUCAUGAACCACGCUCUAAUCAAUAUGGUGCUAAGGGCUUAUCGUGCCAAAUAAUAAUAACCUUAUACUAGAAAGCCGGUGUAACCAAGGCGGUAUCUAGACAAGAUCAGUAUUAUUUGUCGACGAUAAGUCAAAUCAUCCACAAAAACUAGAGGGGAAAAGAAAAUAAAUUUACCAAAUAAAGCCCAUGACACAUGUUGAGACUUCACCUUCAACCCAAGCUUGAAAAGAAAUUAGCUACUCAUAAUUGAACUAGGGGCAAAAUGGGAAUUUAUUAAAAUACGAAGAAAAUACAAGAUGGAGAGGGAAUUACAGAAAAUGGAUCCCAAAAAUGGAUUCAGAGAUAUCAAAUUAGGGGGGGGAGGCCCCCUUUUUAUAGAUACAUGGAGUAAAUCAUGGCCAUCGGAUUAAAAACAGUUUGGACGCUCAGGAUUGCGCCACGUCAUCAGUCAACAGUCCACGGUUUGACCACGCGGAUGAACAGUAACACGGUUUGACCCGGAUGAACAGUAACGCGGUUUGGUUGAAAAUAAUCCUGUGUGAUGCAUGCACCGUACGCGAGAUUUUUCGUCCACUGAUAUGCUGCCACGUCACCGUCAACAGUACAUAAGAAUUUUAGUCCAACAGGAUCGUGACACCUCAUCAGUCAAUGCCACAUCAUCGGUCAAUGCCACGUCAUCGAUCCGUCUUUGUGAACAGUGUCGUGAACAGUAACGUAGACAGUACCGUAUAUGUGAAUAGUACCGUACAUGUGAAUAGUGCCAUUUUUCCUUUUAUGCUCCUCCUAAGGUUUUCGACCGUCCUGAGUUCAAAAGUGAUGUCUGUUUUGCCGUCUGAUCUCUCCUUUAUUGUGAAAUGACUAUAAUGCCCCUAAAAUACAUAAAAUACUUAAUUAAAAUAACACACACGUAAUUACAUCACAAGAAGGUUAAAUACAUAAAAGUAAGGGUUGUUAGUAAGACUUGAAAUGUAAAAUGACGGUUUUCUCCUUUAUAAAUAUGCAUUUUCUAACACUCAACAUUAACAAGAUUAUCAAAGGUAUCCUGAAGAAUAAGCUAGAAGAAAGAAAGGGAGCGUGGGUAGACGAGCUACCUGGGGUUCUGUGGGCCUACCGGACUACUCAAAACACUUCCACCUGGGAGACCCUUUUUUCCCUCGCAUUCGGUGUUGACGCAGUGAUUCCAGUAGAAAUUGAGGUACCCUCUCACAGGGUUGAAUACUUUGAUGAGGCCGAGAACACCUCCUUGAUUGCUUCCAACCUUGAUUUGGCGGCCGAAAAAAGGGCUAGAGCAUAAUUGAGGACAGCCAUAUAUCAACAUCGCAUUUUGGGUCUAUAUGAAAAAAGGGUACGCCAUCGAUCCUUCAAGAAAGGAGACUUGGUCUUGAGAAGGGUAACGCAGAACACUAGGGUACCCUGCGAAGGCACUUUUGGGGCAAAUUGGGAAGGACCUUGAAAUAUAAGUGUGCAACCCAAGAGGGGGGGUGAAUUGAAAUUUUAAAAUUUAUCCUAACAAAUCCACACAACAAGCAAUCUAAUGUCUUAAUAAUAAUUGAAAACAAUAAGUUCAAUAAUAGCACAAUAAUUAAAGAGUAAGGGAGAAGAGAAACAAACACAUGAAUUUUUACGUGGUUCGGCAAUCCCCGCCUAUGUCCACGCCUCCAAGCGAUCCAAGCUCGAGGAUUUCACUAUCCAAGCCUUUCCAAGGCUUCAACGAUUACAAUUGACUUCGAGGUGUCAAUAAACCUUUACAACAAAGAGAUUAUCUCCCAAUCUCUUCACUCAAGUGUCUCACACACUCAAACUCUUACAAAUGAAUUGAAGAAAUGAAAGUUACAAUGAAACUCAGUCAAUGAGUAGAUAUUCAAAGAUGAAGAAUAAUGAAUGAAUCAAUAAUUUGUGUUUUGCAAGUUGAAGGCUCAAGAUAUCACGUGUGCUUUUUGUUUUUGCUUGUUGGAGAGCUUCAAAAUGAGUAGGAUUUGAGUUUAUAUAAUUUGAGCUCAAAAACUAGCCGUUAUGCACAUUUUGGUCGUAACCGGAUUACCGGUUAUGGACAUCCGGAAUUCCGCUUAAUGUUACCGUUACAGCCACAAUUUUGAAUUUCUGAACAUCUGGAUUGCCGCUUUGUCACAUCCGGAUUUCCGCUUAUGCUCAGUAGCUUACUGCCCAACAACCGGAUUUCCGUUUGUCAGGAUCCGGAUUUUCGCUUGCUACAGUAACUGCUACAGUGAUUAUUUUCCCAAAUUUAUAGUUUGACCCCAAAACUUUAUAAAACUGUAGCGUGGCCCAAAACGUUAUGAAAGUUUGCAAAAAGGUCCAAUUUCAGAAUUUUAGAAUAAUGCUUUGUCAAUCCCACAACUUUGUGAAAUUAUAGCAUGGCCCAAAAACAUUUAAAUAGUUUCAAAUAGGUCCAAAUCCGAAAUUUAAAAACACUAUCAAAGAUUUUAAAAAUACUUUCAUUUUAGUCCAAAAUACUUUAAUUUCAUAACAUCAUUUUCUUAUUAUAAAAGCACAAUUCAUAAAUCUUUGCUUAAUAAAUACAUGUGGUUUGUUAUCAUCAAAAUCAAUAUUUAUAGCCAUAUAGGCUAACAAUCUCCCCCUUUUUUAUGAUGACAAAACACAUUAAAAACUUUAAUCUUGUUAUGAAAAAGCUCCCCCUUAAUCAAUGCAAGUUAAAAAAAAUGAUUUGAAAAUUGUUUAACAAAAACUCCCCCUGCAUACAUGCUCCCCUUAGAUACAUGCAUAUUUUCAUAACACAUAUUAAAUCAUUCUCCCCCUUCAUCAUCAAAAAGAAUAAAAGCUCCCUCUAUCAAUUAUCAAAAUCGCAACAUAAGCACAUUAGUAAAAAAAAUAUCCAUAAGCAUAAGAAAAUCCAUAUAAUCCAUAAUGAUCAAUCAAAACAAAUCCAUAACAUCCAACAUAAAUAGUCACAACAAAUCCAUAUCAUCCAACAACAAAACCAUAAACCGAAAAUCAUAAUAACCAUCCAUAGAGUCGAAAAUAAAAGAACACACAAUGCAGUAAAUGAAAUGUAGGUGUGUCCAAAUACAAGCAUAAGAUACUACUCAGGUGGUGAGGAUGGAGGUGAAGGAGGUGGAUACGGAUAUGGAAUGCCGAAGUGCUCGAAGAGAAGGCGCUGUCCAUGAAUGAGCUGCUGCUGCUCCUGCUGAAACUCAGUCUGCCGCAAUGAAAGUGUCCGCACCUCAUCCAUAAGCUGCUGAAGAGUAACAUCUCCAGAGGUAGGAUGACGUGGAGGUGAUGAAACGGAUGCAGAGACAUCAGGAGCUGAAGCUAUCACGGGAGGAUCUCGGCGUCUACGCUGCCCCCGAAAUGAGAGUGAGAAAAUGGGUAGCUGAUCAGCUGGAACCACAGCAUUAAGUGGCCGAUCAUCACUUGGAGCAAUGAAGGUAAACUUGUUUUCACUGUAUUUGACCCAAGUGCCAUCCUUCCACUCAAAGCCUAACCCAAUAAUAACAUCUUCCCCGAUACCCUUAGACGGUCUACAUGAUGGUUCUUUAAUAGGUACAUCAAAAAAUUUCAGGAUUCGGGUAAUGAAAUGACCAUAUGGAAGGGAGCGGGUAAUCAACUUAGGUAUACUGAGCAUGUUUCGGACAAUGGUAUAUCCUAAGUCAACUGGACGAUGUCUAAGAAUACAAUCAAUCAAGGCGACAUCCAUAUGAGAGACCUCAUCCAAAUGGCCUGAUCUAGGAAGGACAAUACUCUGAAUAAAACGAAGUAAUAUCCGAGACUGAAGACAAAGACAUAGGUUGCGAAAAUGGAUAGUACAAUCUUCAUCGGAAAGGUCGACACGGCGACAUAUAUUCUUAACAGCAUCAAUAUAAACAUAGUCAUCAAUGUCAGGAGGUUUCCUAGGUGAAAAAACUUCUAGGCCAUCAUCGGAAGAUCCUAGGAUGGUGUUCAAGUCCGAAUCAUCAAACUCAAUCAAAACUCCUCCAACUGUGGUGAUUACUCGAUUCUCUUUCUCCGCGGAACAAUCCAUAUUCGAGUAAAAUACUUUCACCAAGUCAGGAUAUACAUUUUCCUCAACAACAAGUGCAUUAAGCCAACCAACAUCUUUCAACAAUUGCAAUAAAGUUAUAUUGCUAAUACUAAGAUGAUUCAAACAAUCCAGUAAAACAAAAAAAAGGUUUGGAGUACCUCUCGAGUCAUGAACUGUUGAUGAAAACGUUUGGCUAGAUGUUUCUUGUUCUGAAAAUGUGUGGACUCGAAAUUAGAUUGAUUGGUGAUGCCCCUUGCUUUCCGUGGCCGGUCGGUUUGUUGAACCGGUUCUUUGCCUUUUCUUCGAACCGGCCGUGAACUAGACAAUUGGAUUUGAUUGAUUUGAGGUUAAAAAGGAUAAAGAGAAUGAAGAUGAUGAAGAUUGAAAGUGAUUUUGAGAAACAAUUUGAAUCAAAAACGGCUUAAGAGUGAGAAAUCUAGAGAGAGAAAAAUUCGGAUAAACCCUAGGUUGAAUUUGAGAUCUAGAGUUUUGGAUGUUGAAAAUGAAGUUUAAAGAUGCUUUAGAGUGAAUGAAGUGAUGGGAAAUGAUUUUCUUGAUUCAAUUUGAUGUGAAACAGAUAGAAAAUAAAGGAUUUUCGAGUGAAAAAGAUAGAGAAGCAAACGGUUUUUAGAGAGAGUGAGAGAACCAGAUUUCCGUUUGAAGAGGGAAGAAGAACAGUUGAAAUAGCUUCCGCAACCGGAUUUCCGGUUUUCACUAACCGGAUAGCCGGUUGGGACCAGAAGCUUGAAACCCGAAACCGGCUUGCCGGUUUGACUUGAACCGGAAUUCCGGUUGUGACCAGCAAGGUUCCACGCGAAAAUCGAUUUUCCGGAUAACACGAACCGGCUUGCCGGUUGGAUCCAGAAGAUAGCAAUGCCGGUUUGCCAAAGUCUCGAAUUCGGAUUUCCAGAUUGACAUAACCGGAAAUCCGGUUUUGGUCCAGCAAACCUUCCUUGCGAAUCCGGCUUUCCGGUUUUGCUAAUCGGCAGUCCGGUUUGAGGCAGAAAUGAAGCUUAGGAAAUCCGGUUAUCCGGAAUUUGUCUCGAGAGAAAUCAAUAAGGAAAAAAAAAGUUUUUCCGGAUGAAUAGAAAGGGAAUAUUUGCUAGCUCUUAUACUUGUAUUACACACACCAUUUUAUUUCCGGCCUUAAAAAAAAUUGAUUAAUUUUAAAUCAUUUUGAGAUUUAAAACCUUUCAAUAAGCCAUUUAAUGCAUGCAACAUAAAAUCAUAAAAUCAUAAAAUUACAAGCAUAUCAAGCCAUCUAAUUCAUGAACCAUAAAUCCAUAUAAUAACAAACAUAUCAAGCUAUAUAGUAAAACAUGAAUUAUCAACAUUCAUCAUUCCAAGCUCAUGUCUUAUCUUUAUAAAAUGCUCUUCGCUAAGAGGUUUUGUAAAGAUAUCCGCAAGUUGAUUUUCAGUGGAAACAAAUUUAAUCACAACAUCUCCUUUUUGAACAUGAUCUCUAAGGAAAUGAUGUCUAAUUUCUAUAUGUUUAGUCCUCGAAUGUUGAAUGGGAUUCUUGGAAAGAUUAAUAGCACUAGUAUUGUCACAUAAAAUAGGUAUUUGAUCAAGCUUAAUACCAUAGUCUCUAAGGGUUUGUUUCAUCCAAAGAAUUUGUGCACAACAACUACCUGCGGCAAUAUAUUCUGCCUCGGUGGUUGAAAGCGCAACCGAGUUUUGUUUCUUACUAAACCAAGAGACAAGAGAAUGACCUAGGAAGUGACAUGUUCCACUAGUACUUUUUCUAUCAACCUUAUACCCAGCAAAAUCGGCAUCCGAAUAACAAGUUAAAUCAAUAUGAGUUCCUCUAGGAUACCAAAGGCCAAGAUUAAUAGUGCCAAUUAGAUAUCGAAAAAUGCGUUUGACAGCAAGCAUGUGAGACUCUUUAGGACAAGAUUGAAAUCUAGCACACAAGCAUACACUAAACAUAAUAUCAGGCCUACUAGCAGUCAAAUAGAGUAAGGAUCCGAUCAUACCUCGAUAAGUCUUGAUAUCAACUUCCUUACCUUUCUCAUCUUUGUCCAGUUUGAUGGUAGUACUCAUAGGAGUGCUUUUUGCCGUUCCAUUAUCAUAGCCAAAUCUUUUGAGUAGAUCUUUCACGUACUUGGCUUGGUUUAUGAAAAUUCCUUCCUCGUUUUGUUUGAUUUGAAGUCCAAGGAAGUACUUCAACUCUCCCAUCAUACUCAUCUCAAACCCUUUACUCAUACAUGAUGAAAAAUCUUUACACAACAACUCAUUAGUAGAACCAAAAAUAAUAUCAUCAACAUAAAUUUGAACAAUAAGUAUGUCUUGAUUCUUAUGCUUAACAAAAAGAGUUGUGUCCGCUUUUCCCAUCGAAAAAUCGUUAUCCAACAAGAAGUUUUUAAGCCUAUCAUACCAAGCUCUAGGUGCUUGUUUUAAACCAUACAAAGCCUUGGAUAACUUAUACACAUGAUCUGGAAAUUUUUCAUUUUUACAACCAGGAGGUUGUUUCACAUAAACUUCCUCCAUAAUAUAUCCAUUUAAGAAAGCACUCUUGACAUCCAUUUGAUAUAAAAUAAAAUCCUUGUGACAUGCAUAUGCUAACAACAUCCUAAUGGAUUCUAAUCUUGCUACAGGUGCAAAAGUUUCAUCAAAAUCAAUUCCUUCUUCUUGGUUGUAACCUUGAGCCACUAGUCUAGCUUUAUUUCUUACAACCACACCGGAUUCAUCCAUUUUGUUUCUAAAUACCCAUUUAGUGCCUAUAAUGGAUUGAUGUUCUGGAUUAGGAACUAACUCCCACACAUUGUUUCUCUUAAAUUGAUUCAACUCCUCUUGCAUUGCCAUAAUCCAAGAUUCAUCAUUUUCCGCAUCCGCAAAGGAUUUUGGUUCAAUUUGAGAAAUAAAUGCAGCAUGUUCACAUGUGUUCCUAAGAGAUUAUCUAGUUGUAACACCUCGUGAGGGAUCUCCUAAAAUUACAUCCUUAGGGUGAGAAGAUACAUACCUCCACUCCUUGGGGAGUGUUUGAGAAGUACCUUCAUUUUGCUCUACAUUCAUUUCUUCAUGAUGUUCCUCUUGAAUUCCAUGUGGCGCGUCUUCUUGGUUGUCAUUCGAUGCUUCUUCUUGUUGUUCUUCUUCUGCAUUAUCAUCAACAACAGCUUUCUCCGUAGAGGGGUUAGACUCAUCAAAUGUAACAUGCAUAGAUUCUUCCACAACUAAAGUUCUUUUAUUAUAAACUCUAUAAGCUUUGCUUGAAUUUGAAUAACCAAGAAAUAUACCAACAUCAGAUUUUGGAUCAAAUUUACCAAGAUUAUCUUUUGUAUUCAAAACAAAACAUUUGCAUCCAAAAACUUUAAAAUAACCAAUGUUGGGUUUUCUAUCUUUCCAAAGCUCAUAUGGAGUUUUAUCAAGAUUAGGUCUAAUCAACAUCCGAUUUAAAACAUAACAAGUAGUGUUGACGGCUUCGGCCCAAAAAUACUUAGGCAAAGAAUUUUCAUUCAACAUGGUCCUAGCCAUUUCUUGAAUAGACUUAUUCUUUCUCUCUACUACUCCAUUUUGUUGUGGAGUCCUAGGUGAUGAAAAUUGAUGUUCAAUGCCAAAGUCAUUACAAAAAUUUUCAAAUGCAUGAUUUUCAAAUUCUCCACCAUGAUCACUUCUAAUACAAGUAAUAGAAUAACCUUUUUCAUUUUGAACCUUUUUAUAAAAAAUUCGAAAUGCAUCAAUGGCAUCAUCCUUAUUAGCUAAGAACAAUACCCAUGUGUAUCUAGAAUAAUCAUCCACAAUUACAAAUGCAUAAAAUUUGCCACUUAAACUAGCAUAUUUAGAAGGUCCAAAUAAAUCUAUAUGAAGCAAUUGAAGUGGUUUUGAAGUGGAGACAUGAUUCUUGCUUUUGAAGGAAGUUUUGAUUUGUUUUCCAAAUUGGCAUGCUUCACAAGUUCUAUCUUUUUGAAAAUUGAUUUUUGGAAGACCUUUUACUAAAUCAUUUUUCAUAAUUUUUGAAAUCAAAUCCAUGCUUGCAUGACCUAAUCUUCUAUGCCAUAACCAACCAUCAUCAUACAAUGCGGAGAGACAUUUCUCAUUUGUUGAUGCACAAUCUAUAUUAAUGGUAUAGACAUUAACACAUCUAUUUCCUACAAACAAGACUUUCCCAUCACAUGCAUUCUCAAUAACACAUUUUGAUUCAUCAAAGAUAACUCUAUAUCCUUUAUCACAUAAUUGACUAAUACUAAGCAAAUUGUAUUUCAAGUUUUCAACCAAACACACAUUCUCAAUGAGGGUAGAUGAUACAUUACCGACAUUUCCAAUUCCAAUGAUUUUUCCUUUUGAAUUAUCCCCAAACGAAACAUCUCCACUAUUUUCGAUCUUGGUAAAGCUUGAAAACCAAGAAUAAUUCCCUGUCAUGUGUCUUGAACAACCGCUGUCCAAGUACUACUUAUUCUUCUUCUUCUUUGAGCCCUGUAGAAAAAAUCUCAAGUUUUAGGUACCCAAACCCUUUUGGGUCCUUGAGAGUUAGCAAUGGUUCCUUUCGGAACCCAAACACAUUUCAUACCAUAAUAUGCAUUUCUCUUCACUGCACAUCUAUUUUUCAUAUGGCCAUCUUGAUUGCAAUAAUGACAUACAAUUUUAUUGUUAAUAGAUGUAUUCUUCACAAAAUAACUCUUGUAAAAUUUUUGUUUCAAAUUCGGUUUAUAACCUAUGCCACUUUUGUCAAAUACACAUUUUUGUGAGUUUAGCAAAUUGUCCAACAUCUUUUGCCCAUUUGUGAAUUUUAGCACAAUUUCAUUUAGUUCAUUGCUCUUCUUUCUAAGCAUUUCAUUCUCAUUUUUCAAGUCAUUCAUGUGUGACUCUAAGUGCUCAUGUGAGGUGCUAGAAUUCUCAAAUAAUGCAAUACUAUCAUGCAAUGUUUUAUUUUCUAAUUCUAGGCAUGUAAUCUUUGCACUAAAUGAAUCAUUUUCAUUCUUAAGCUCUAUCAUCUUCCUUUAAGACAUAUAUUCUUUUUACCAAUCUUCAUUAGCUCAUCAUAAAAAUCCUUAAAAGCAUCAUGCAAUUCAUCAUAAGUGGGAAGAACACUUACCUCAUCAAGUUCAUCACAUGAUUCUUCCCCAACAGCCAUGAGAGCUAAGUUUGUCAUUUCUUGUUGCUCAUCAUCGUCACUUGUUUCGUCAUCGCUAUCAUCCCAUGUGGCCACCAUAGCUUUCUUCUUGAGUUUGUUGAGAAGAGGACAUUCCGGUCGUAUGUGUCUGGGCUUCUUGCAUUCAUAACAAAUGAUUGGCUCCUUCUUCUCUUUCUUAUUCUUGUAGCUUCUGAACUUCCUCUGCUCAUUAUUCUUUUUGUAAAAUUUUUUGAAUCUUCUAGCCAACAUGGCCAGCUCCUCAUCAUCCAUUUUGCUUUCCUCAUCACUCUCACGUUUUGAAGCCUUGAGAGCAAUGUUCUUCUUCUUUUCCUCAUGCCCUUUUUUGGCUGCCAAAUCUUCUUCAUAUGAAAUGAGAGAGCCAAUUAAAUCAUCAAUAGGUAAUACAUUUAAAUCCUUGGCUUCCUCAAUGGCAGUCUUUUUUUGUCUCCAUUCCUUAGGUAGAGACCUAAUGAUUUUCUUGACUUUUUCGCUAUUUGAAAAAGUCUUUCCUAGGGCUCCUAGAGUGUUCACUAUGUCCGUGAAUCUAGUAUACAUAGAGUACACAUUUUCAUUUUGUUCCAUUUAGAACAAUUCAUAUUGUCGAGUGUACCUACUUAUUUUAGAUUCUUUCACUUGGUUCGUGCCUUCAUAGACAACCUCAAGUUUGUGCCAAAUUUCAUUAGCACUUUCGCAACUAGACACUCUAUGAAACUCUUUCUUAUCUAGUGCACAAAACAAGACAUUCAUGGCCUUGGAAUUUAGAGAAGCUUUUCUCUUUUCAAAUUCAUUCCAAUCCCGUGAAGGUUUUGGAAUAUCUUCUCCUACUUCAUUUUUAGUCAAAGGCAUGAAAGGACCAUCAUUAACGAUUUCCCAAAUCUCAUAAUCUAAGGCUUCCAAGUAAAUUUUCAUCCUAAUUUUCCAAUAUGGGUAAUCGUUUCCAUCAAAGUAAGGUGGUCUAGUGGUGGACUGCCCUUCCCUAAAUGUGGAAUCAUUUUGAGUUGCCAUUGAUCUUUAACUCUAGAUGGUUAAAUCUAAAUAAGAGCACCAAGCUCUGAUACCAAAUGAAAUAUAAGUGUGCAACCCAAGAGGGGGGGUGAAUUGAAAUUUUAAAAUUUAUCCUAACAAAUCCACACAACAAGCAAUCUAAUGUCUUAACAAUAAUUGAAAACAAUAAGUUCAAUAAUAGCACAAUAAUUAAAGAGUAAGGGAGAAGAGAAACAAACACACGAAUUUUUACGUGGUUCGGCAAUCCCCGCCUACGUCCACGCCUCCAAGCGAUCCAAGCUCGAGGAUUUCACUAUCCAAGCCUUUCCAAGGCUUCAACGAUUACAAUUGACUUCGAGGUGUCAAUAAACGUUUACAACAAAGAGAUUAUCUCCCAAUCUCUUCACUCAAGUGUCUCGCACACUCAAACUCUUACAAAUAAAUUGAAGAAAUGAAAGUUACAAUGAAACUCACUCAAUGAGUAGAUAUUCAAAGAUGAAGAACAAUAAAUGAUUCAAUAAUUUGUGUUUUGCAAGUUGAAGGCUCAAGAUAUCACGUGUGCUUUUUGUUUUUGCUUGUUGGAGAGCUUCAAAAUGAGUAGGAUUUGAGUUUAUAUAAUUUGAGCUAAAAAAUUAUCCGUUAUGCACAUUUUGGUCGUAACCGGAUUACCGGUUAUGGACAUCCGGAAUUCCACUUAAUGUUACCGUUACAGCCACAAUUUUGAAUUUCUGAACAUCUGGAUUGCCGCUUUGUCACAUCCGGAUUUCCGCUUAUGCUCAGUAGCUUACUGCCCAACAACCGAAUUUCCGUUUGUCAGGAUCCGGAUUUCCGCUUGCUACAGUAACUGCUACAGUGAUUAUUUCCCAAAUUUAUAGUUUGACCCCAAAACUUUAUAAAACUGUAGCGUGGCCCAAAACGUUAUGAAAGUUUGCAAAAAGGUCCUAUUUCAGAAUUUUAGAAUAAUGCUUUGUCAAUCCCACAACUUUCUGAAAUUAUGACUUCGCCCAAACUUUGUGAAAUUAUAAUAUGGCCCAAAAAUAUUUAAAUAGUUUCAAAUAGGUCCAAAUCCGAAAUUUAAAAACACUAUCAAAGAUUUUAAAAAUACUUUCAUUUUAGUCCAAAAUACUUUAAUUUCAUAACAUCAUUUUCUUAUUAUAAAAGCACAAUUCAUAAAUCUUUGCUUAAUAAAUACAUGUGGUUUGUUAUCAUCAAAAUCAAUAUUUAUAGCCAUAUAGGCUAACAGACCUUACCUCAUCGACAAACCCGUUGGGUCAGGUGCAUACAGGCUACUCCACAUGGAUGAGACAAUCGUGAGGCACCCCUGGAAUAUUGCAAUGCUACGGAAAUAUUACUAAAGGACAGUGUCUUAACCUUUAGUCUUUUGCUACUAUUUACUUUCUUUAAUAUUUUUGUGUGGUAGGCCAAAUGGGGUACCCCAAACGCCCUAUGUUGGUCAGUUGCAACUUUAGAGUUUAUUUAAUUUUCAAAUGAAAAGGAUAGGAGGUCUUGCGGUCUCCUGUUCUCCUCAGGGUAACAAAGUUAAGUCAUGUAUUGAUCAAUGCUUUCGUUAUCUAUAAAUGCAUUUUCUUUCUCAACAAAUAUGAUGUGGGUUCUUUCUUUAUUUUUCGCCACUUCGAUCUUAGAAUGCGGAUUAUAUUCAUUUAUCGCCAUUAAUAUACCAUCGCAUCUGGUUAUAUGCAAUUCUCGUCAUACGCUUGUCAAUUAUGACUAACCUAUCAUAGGACCAACCAGGGUACCUGAUAUGCCUAGAUCGUGAUGAUCUAUGCAAAGCCAAGAUGGGCAACGGAGUGAACAGCCCAGGGGUAGCCUUUCUGCGGAAGCAUGACAAAACUACAUAAACAAAUAGAGGGAGGGUCAAAGAGGACCCGAGGGUGGAGUAAAACCGGCAUACCAUAGCGCCACGAGGUUCAGCUUAGGUAUGAGUACACCCACACCUCUAUCCUCUUACUUGAGCAAAGUAUGGGUAAGCUAUUCCAAAAAUUCGGAGGGAACUUCGAAAGAAUAAGAAAUUGAUUGGUUGGACCAAUUGCGCACUAUCAAUUUUUGAUCGAGAUGUCGCAAGGAUGUUUUGAUUACCUAUUUGUAGGAAAUUCGCCAUAGUUACCGAGAAGGGCAUGCACCAAAUUUGACGAUCUAUAUAAACCAGCAGGCGCCUGAUGUCGAAUAUUUGUUAAGGUACCGGGGGUACCCCAUUUUAAAAAAGAAAAAUGAGAGGUACCCUAAAAAUUUGCAAGAUAACAGUUUAGCCAAGCAUUCAUUUGCAGAAUAAUAAGAAUGCAAAGUACGAAAGGGCUCGGUGGCAUGGUAUCAUAACAAAAGAGAAGUCCCAAUAAUACAAAAUAUCCAAGAAACCAAAAAGAAAGAAACAAGUUCCAAAUAGCAAAAUGUGGAUAGAUCCAAAAAACAAGAGUACAGUGAAAAGGCUACACCAAGGGUAGAACGCCAUCCCCACCAUCCGUCUCCAGAAGGCGAUCAGCAGAGGACUCUAAGGUACCCAGAAUAUGAGCAGCCGAAGUAGGGGCAUCUGAGGCGGGCAACAACUGAAGCGCGCGGGGUACCCUAGGCGACUCGGAAGGGGUACCCGACCGUGCAUGGGAAUACUUCUUCCUCUCCGCAAUCGUCUUCAGAAUCGUGGCCUUACUGACGAAUUUCUGCACACGGGGUACCUCCAAUUCCGGAUCCACGCUCCACACCUCUGUCAUGAUAAGUGAGAACGCAUCCUCCGCCAUCGUCUUUUGUCGGAAUAACAAAUCCUCGUUUGUGGCCUUCAACUCAUCGCAGUCCUUCUCCACUCGAGUUUUCUCUCCCGAUAGGCCAGUAAUGCGUUCUUGCAAAGUUUUGACUUCUCGAGCAAGCUGAUCCUCGCGAGACUGACGACUUUGGAGCUCACCCCUUAACUUUUCGACUUCUGAUUGGGCAGCAACAAGGGAGUCGAGGUCUGGAAGGCAAUAGCUGAGGAGAAAAGAUGCCUGCAGGUCAUAGAAGACAUGUUAAAUAUAUGUGUAUGGCAAUAAGAUUAAAUAAGUAAAAAAUGAAGGGUACACCCGGGGUACCCCGGGAAAGCCUACCUCUUGGGUAGCCCUAAGUGCUUGACCAUAGCGCUGGCUCAAACUCAUCCUGUCUGUCUCUUCAGCGACCUCGGAGGUAACAUUUUCGGCAGAAUAGUAGAAACAGCGAGCCAAGUGCGAAACCUCCUUGUUGGAAGCCGGGUCUAGGUCACCUUCACGCAACUCAUCGGGGAAUGUAGAAACCAGCCCGAAUUUUCUCUUCUUUGAACGAAAGGUACCCUUUGACGCACUGUGGGAGGUACCCUGAGAUUUUCCCUUUAGUCUGGGAGCUCGAGGUGGCCGGAAACUUUUCUGAGGUACCGCCGAAUCCUGAGAUCCAGAAGCACCACCCACUACUACUUGGAAAAAGGCAUCAAAAGCGUCACCCGCUGACUCCAUAACUGCACCCAAUGCAUAAACGUUAUGUUAGCUGGACGAGUACUAAGUAUUACAAAAGCAAAAAUGGGAAAUGAAAAGCAGGGAAGCAAAAUAAAGAAUGCGGUGAUAACGGGGUACCCCAGUCCCGUAGAUAAUAAUAGGGUACCCCCCGACCCCCAAAUCAUACAUGAGCCACCCCCGAGAGCAGGUGGAAGACUUUAGUCAAUCAGCCCCGCUCUCCAUAAUCCGCUCUCCUCUAACACAUCACUGCUCCUCUGUGCACCUCGAAGCCUCUCCACAAACUUCUUCACCUCUCUCCCCACCUCCUGAACUGGGCAUGAUCCUUUAGCCCACGUCACACCUACAAAAGCAUGGAGAACCCAAGGUUAGCGAGACAUACAUGCGAAAGAUUAAGAUAAAGAACCGUAAAUAAGGGAGAUACUUACAGUCUACAUUGAAGGAAUUGAGAACCUCCACGAGAUUACCCUUUUCAUCCAGAGUCUCUAUCCCCCACCUACCCUCAGCCACAAACCAUCCAUUUCUGUAACCCUUCUUCAAGGCGGGGUCCCCCUCAACAAUAUGACCAUGAUCACCCAAAGCGGAGAAGUAAGCAAUGGCGAGAUCCUUAGGCUUUUUGAAUUGGUAAAGGCCCCUCAAUUCCCGCAUAGAAAUGUCGCGCCUCAAUACUUCCAACCAUAACACAUGUAAGCCCGUAAGUGUCCUCCACCCGGGAAGGGACAGCUGCCCAAGAGCUACCCCCAAAUAACUAAACAAUCUCAUAUAAAAAGGUUGGAGGGGCAGGCAGAGUUCUAGAUCAAAGAGGUCAAUGUGGAGAGCAAUCCCGUCAGGCUUCAGACACUCAGGUCGUUCAUCCACAUGGGGUACCCUAAGCUGGACAGAGGGAGAAAUAUUGUAUUUGGCUCUAAUUUGUUCUAAGUCCCCCAAAGUAGCUCUCUUAGUGCCUAAGGAAUAAAGGUUGCCAGAUUUUAAAGGUGUGGCAGAGGGAGACUUGGGAGGCCGGCCUGAGGAACGAGCUGGAACCUUGGGCUUGGAUGACCUACCCUUUUUUUUAGGAUGAGGGGUUGGCCGUUUACUGGGAAAGCAUGGGCUGACACGAGGAGUACUCCUAGGGGAGGGAGCUUAGAGUGAGAGUUACAACUCCCAGAGGUACUAGGGGGAGAUCUAUCCCCCUCGCUAAUGGAGAUGUAGGAAGGAGAACCCGCAGGAGGGCUGUCAACCCUACUAGCCCCAACUGCACGAUGCUUCCUCACUGGCCCCGUAUGUUUCUUGCCUAUUUACUUUCCCCCAACAAUAUAACCAUGAAGCCACAAUUCCCCCAACAACAUAACCACCAAGCCACAAUUCCCCCAACAACAUUUUCAUACCAUACACCACCCACCACACAUCAACCAUUAAAUGCAAACACCAACAAAAAAAAAAACAAACAAACAAACAAAUUUUUCUCAGAGUAUGCAAAAUAGUGCCAUUGUAAAUGCGCCAAAGGAGGAGAAAGGGGGAAGGAUACUUGUGAUUUACCAACUUGAUGGAUCGGGAUUGGUAAUCGUGGGGAGAUAAAGCUGCAGGCAACCAAAAACAGUAAGUAAGAAUAUGCAAAUAUAAAAACUAAUGGUGUGAAGAACGAAGAAGCUGCAAAUUUAUUUUAUUUAUUCAAGCACAAAUGAAAUUAGCCAAUUUAUUUUAUUUAUAAAUAUAAAUAUAUACCGCGACCAAAUGCUUAUCAAGGGUGUAGAUGAGAGCGCCAUGUGUAGGAUGUUUACACACACACUCACGGGCCCCGCGAAGUCAUGGUUUCGCUCUUUGAAAGUAGGUAGCAUAUCUUCCCUACACCAAUUGUUAUCCAAAUUUACUAAAGAGUUUUCCUACGCUUCCACUCAAGAUAGAGUAGCCUCCAAACUUGCCUUUAUCAAGUAAGGGGAAGCCAAGCCCUUGGCAGAGUAAGUGAGUCGUUCCCACCAAGAGGUGUUGCGAACCGGAGCAUUUGGAAACUAAUACACAUUGACCCAUUUUGAAAAAAAUUUACGGUUGGACAAGUUAUGGCGUUCUUUUCAAAAGAAGCGCUCACUUUCAUAUGGGGAAGCUCGUUCCCAGGCGUUGCAGCAGGUGGAGAUGAACGAGAAAUGUCAAUUGAAGCGCCAAGAAGAUAAAACCGAUGUUACAAAGAACAAGGAGAAGCCCAAGAGGAUAGAGGCCCUAAUACCGCAGGUACCCCGAGCACGGAGCCCUCCACGGGCUGCCCCGCGGGGACGAGGGUAUAACGCUCAGGACCUCCAAGAUCGCCACCACCGGAUCAGCGAGAGCCAUCACCGAGGCCUCAGUACAAAUCUUACCAUCCACUGAAUCGAUCCCCAAAGCAUAUCUUCUACCAUAUUCGGGAUAGUGGCCUCCUUCAUCCUCCUAAGCCAAUGAAGAAGUACCCCAACAUGAAGCAUAGCCUUAAGUAUUGUGAGUUCCAUGAGGACUUCGGUCACAGCACAACCGAGUGUUUUACCUUGCGAGAGGAAAUUGAAGAUUUGAUUCUUAGCGGGUACCUCAAAGAAUUUGUUGCUGGCAUGAGAGAAGCUCGGAAAUCCGCGGAGCAAGAUAAGGGCAAGCAUGUAGCUGAUGGUAGUCCUGAACGAGAGGUACCCCCGGGACAUAACAAAUGCGUGUAUGUCUAGAUGAUCAUGGGUAGACCGACUUUAGCGAGCCAAUCUAGGAGGGCUAUCAAAGGCUAUGGUAGAUCGUUGUCGAUAACCACCAAUAUUGGCAGAGAAGUCAACCUUAAUGAAUAGGGUACACCGAAGGUACCCCACCAUCCCCCGCCUAUCCUUUUUACAGAAAAAGAAGCGGGGAGUAUCUCGUACUCCCAUGACGAUGCCUUAGUAAUUACGUUGAAGGUUGCCACCGGUAAGGUAGCAAGAACUCUUGUAGAUACCAGCAGCUCCAUUGACAUCAUUUUCAAAAGCGUCUUGGAUCAACUAUUGAUUGAGUCGCCAAAGAUCACCCCCUAUGCUACGCCUCUUAUUGGGUUCGCCGAAGAUAUGAUUAUACCAAAGGGCAUCAUUACGCUGCCCGUUACACUUGGUAAGGUACCUCACCGCGUUGUUCAUAUGAUUGAUUUUCUUAUUGUAGAUCACCCAUGUGUCUACAAUAUUAUAUUGGGUAGGCCGUUCUUAGUAGCAACUAAAGCGGUGGUAUCCAUGCACUACCUCGCCAUGAAAGUCCCGGCCGCCCAAGAAGUUAUCACCAUUAAAAGGGACCAACAAUCUGACUAUACUAUGCUUGACUUUCGGAGUAUGUAAAAUUGAUGGGGUUUUGUUUAUUUAGCUUGCUGAGUGGUUUAUCUUGUUUGGGGAUAACUUGUUUAGCAUGUAUGGUGAAAUGAAAGUAUACGCAACUAAAUUGCUCUAGUCGGCAAUAACCUUCUAAUAUUGAGUGAGAUCACCAUGUGACAAUGCUUUAAUUGCAUGGCAUCUAAGAUGCGAUUUUGCUAGAUUGUUUUUAUGUAGGCAAUACAUUCUAGUGUUGGACAACACCCUUCUAGUCUUCGAGCGACUUCACCAAGUGACAAUGCUUUAUUGGCAGGGCAUCUAAAAUGCAAUUAUGCUAGGUUGUUUUUAUAUUUGUUUCAGCACUGUAUGCACCGUGUGUCUUUGUAUGUAUGGGCUUUCUUAAAUAUGAGAUUGUUUCUUUCUAACCUCUCUCAUGCUACAGAAGGGGGUUUGUAUUUUGUUAUUAUCGGCUGAUUAAAUGUCCAUUCUUAAUUGUUUAUUUGGGCAGAUAUACUCCUAGCACUUCUACAGUCACAUAUAAUUUGAAAUCCAAACCGCAACAAAAUCUAAAAUGGCGGAGAGUAGUGUUCAAAAUUAGUGGUUCUGCGCUAGUUGGGAACUGCCAUAAUAUCGACCCCAAGGUGCAAUUCUUUUGCCCUCUUUUAAGUAUAAGUUGAUGUGGUUUAAAUUUUGCGAAUAAGGAAGUAUUUAGAUGUACAAUUUGUUUGCAGUGUGUUAUGGUUGGUUUUACAUGGGGAAACCGUUUUACAUAUGGUUUGUGUUAUUAGGUGGUGAUGUAGAUUGCCAGGGAAGUAGCAUCAGCCUGUCGUCUUGGGAUGGAGGUAUUGCCCAAACUCUCUUUUACAUGUUUUAAUUGUUCAAAAUGUUCCUUUAUUUGUGUUUUUCUAAGUUUAGGUUGUAGAUGCUCAUUAUUAAGUGACCUUUAGGUGGCAAUUGUUCUUGGAGGUCGAAACUUCUUUUGCGGGGAUUCAUGGCUUUCUGAUACUGGCUUCGAUAGACCCACAACUUAUCAAAUUGGGUAAUUUCUAUGUUAUUUAUCUUGCAUUUAAACUUCCAUCUAUAUCUUUCAAUUAUAGUUGGAGUCUAUCUUGUUGACUUUAUAGUCUGUGAAGAAUUAGGAUGUUUUGUUUAUUCUGUUAACAGACCAUGCUUAUAUGGUCAGUAUAGAUUAGGAAGUUUUGUUUAUUAUGUUACAAAGUUCGCAGUUCUAUCCUCAUUUUCUCUCCCAUUUUAUGCUUAUAUUUCAUUGAUGCAGCGUUGAAAUUGAAUUGCUAUUAUAUUGGAUACUGAAUUUAUCAUCUGGGUCAGGCCUUGGACACCUUUAGUGCUGCUCUAAGUGAUCCAUACAGUUGUAGGUUGCUUAUAUCUCUUCCCAACCUUAUAAUACCUUUUGCAAUGUGACCGUGAUUUCAUUUCAGAAUGAUGGCAACGGUUAUGAAUUCUAUAUUGCUCCAAUCAGCCUUGGAGAAGCUGGAAAUUAAGACGCGUGUUCAAAGUGCAUUUGCUUUGCCAGAGGUUGAUGAACCUUAUAGCAGGCAAAGAGCCAUCCGAUAUCUUGAAAAAGGGAGAGUUGUGAUAUUUGGUGGCAUUGGUGCUGGCACCGGAAAUCCGCUUUUUACCACUGAUGCUGCUGCUGCUAUUAGAGCUUCUGAACGUAAGCUUGUACUACUUAACAGCUCUAUUUCAUUCUCUUGUUUCUGUAUAUAAUAUCACUCGCUGUAAUCAUGGUUUACUGCCAGUACUGGUGUUCUUUCUCCUUUUACCUGUUUGUGUGGAGUUUUACUUGGAAAAUAAUAAUGACAUGCUUUGCAUAUUUUUCAUGUCAGUUAAUGCGGAUGCAAUGGUUAAAGGUGUAAGUGUCAAUGGUAUAUAUGAUUCCCACUCUGGUAAUGGCCAUGUAGUACCGGAACACAUAUCUUACAGGGAGGCAGUCUCUGGCAACUUUACGUCCAUGGACACAAUGGCCAUUACAUAUUGUGAAGAGAAUGGGAUUUCUGGUUGGUAUUUUCUUUUGCCGUAAUUCUAGCAGUUGCAAAUCAGAUCCCUUUGGCUUUUCCUGAUACAUAUGUAUACAAUCUCUGUAGUUGUAGUGUUUAAUCUGCUUGAGCCUGGGAAUAUUUCAAGUGCAUUAUGCGGAGGCCAAGUGGGCACGUUGAUUGACCAAUCAGGAGGAAUUAGUUGAUGCAAAAGAAAUGUCUGCUGGAUGUGCUUUGAGGCAUGAUGUCAACUUCAUGGAAGUACAGCAGGUCCAGUGUCAAAAACAUGUAUAUAUUGGAAAUUUGAAAUGCAGCAAUCGCAAUCGAAUGCAUCACUUUGAACUCGCUACUGUAACAUAAAUGACUGAGUUUGGAGCAUAUCCCUGUGUCACAUGUAAAUCCUGUAGUAGAAUUAGAACCUACCCAAUAAAUGAUGAAGAAAAAUGCUGGUUUCAGUGGGAAAGUUAUUGCUUCAACGACCCUCCCAGACGUUUCUUUCUUUGUUAAUGUGCAAAGUCAUCUGCUUUUUUAGGAUUUUUAAUGUGAUUAUUUAGUUGUCACAAACAAUUUACUCUUCUUUGAGUGACUCCAAAUCAUGGGUGUCAUAUUGCUUUCAACCUUUCAGUUUUUCGAGAGGAUGCGAUAAGCUAAUUUUCAUGUUGAAUUGUAACCAAAUAUCUUUUUUUUAGGCUACCGUUUAACAAAACAAAAUUGGUAAAUAGACAAACCCCCCAACCUGCUCUUUU